GUGGUGUGUAAUUAAAGAGAAGUAAAACUUGAUACCAAAAUCAACACACCACUUGAUUUUCAAUGAACAAAUCGUGUUAUAUAGGACUUGGAAGGAGCUUCAUAUUAUUUAUUAUCAUCUAGAGCUGUCUACACUAAAUUAGGAUGGCACAUGUGUAGAGCAUGAAUUCCUACUUGUGAGUGUUCUAGCGCAUGUAGUUUUGAACCAUUUUCGAAGCCUUUUCCCAUUUAUGGUACCUGAGAAAGGUGAUUCUUUCCACGAACCCAUUUGCUCUGGUACUAACUAGUCAUUAUUGACGUGAGUUGUUGAAGGAGCAAUUAUAGAAAUAAAAAUAUUCUAGUUACCAAGUUAGUUUUAUUUGAUUGCAAAUCAUCCAAGAUUGUAGCCUAGAUUAGUAUGAUUAGUUUCUUCCAAAUUAACUUCAUGUACAGGUUAUAUAUAGCCCUCAUCUGUUGUAUCUUUUGCAUAUAGAAGAAUACCAUUUUUCUUCUCCUCAACAUGGUAUCAAAGUAGAGAUUCUAAGGCCGGCCUUAGAAUUUCUGAAGAAAAAAAAAACAGAAAGAGGAAAAUGGAAACACCUCCCACUGGGGUGGAAAAACACGAAGGGGAGAAUUCAAUUCUCGCAGAUCUUACGACAAGAAUGACUCAAGUACUAAACCACAAUCAAACUCAGAACCAAGUCACAAGUCAUGAACCUGCUACACACAUUGGAAUCAAGUUAGAUGGUACCAAUUAUGCAUUAUGGUCCCAAAUUGUCGAGAUGUAUAUCUCAGGUAAAGACAAGUUGGGAUACAUAAAUGGAGAUCUUCCAUAGCCUCUGCAAACAGAUCCUUCAUUCAAAAAAUGGAUAACCGAAAACGCAGUGGUGAAGGGAUGGCUAAUCAAUUCUAUGGAUCCAAUGUUAGUCAAUAACUUUAUUAGAUUCUCAAUGGCUAAGGCUGUUUGGGAUAAUAUUGCUAUUACGUACUUUGAUGGCACUGAUACAUCAUAAGUAUAUGAUCUCAAAAAAAGAGUAACCAGACUCAAACAAGGAGGAGGAUCUAUCGAGACAUACUACAACAAUUUGCAAGGCUUGUAGAGAGAAAUUGACUUUCGUCGACCAAAUCCUACGAAAUGUGAUAUUGAUAUAUAAAAAUAUAACUCUGUUUUGUAGGAGGAUAGAGUCUACACCUUUUUAGACGGAAUUGAUGAUCAGCUUGACAAGAUCCGAGCAGAUGUGCUGCAGAUACAACCAUUUCCAAUAGUGGAACAAGCUUAUGCACAAGUUCGAAGAGAGGAUUUGAGGCAAUCCGUAAUGAUGAUGAAUGAAGAUACCAUAUCUGGUGGUGUUAUGCUUUCAAGAGGAGGACAGAAACCUCAACACCAUUUAUCUUUUCAAACGCCAUCAAAUGGAAAGCCUAACACAGCCACAAAACCAAAGUCACAAGGAGAAGGAGGAGGCUGCACAGAUUAUGGGAAUACAAAACACACCAAAGAAACAUGUUUCAAACUACAUGGUUAUCCAAAUUGGUGGCAUGAACUCAAGGCAAAGAAAAAACGUGAAGCAAGUGGAGGCGACAAUCCUGGUCAUGUAGCUCUUAUGAGCCUAGAGCCUCAACUAUCUCUUGUACCACAACAAGAAUCUUCUAUCUCCACUAGUGAACAGAUUGCUCAGAAUGACUCAGGUAACCAAGGUUAUGUUUUUUCUUGCUCGAAAACGGGGAACCAUGAUGGCUGGAUCAUUGACUCUGGGGCAACAGACCACAUGACCUUUGACCCUUGUGACUUCUCUAAAGCCACCCAACCGAAACGAAUAUGCAUUGCCAAUGCUAAUGGAAUAACAUAUCCCAUAACAAGGGCUAGAACAGUGGCUCUUUCUCCUUCUUUUUCAUUACCAAAUACCUUAUUAGUUCCAUCACUUUCCAAUAAAUUGUUAUCUAUUGGACAAGUGACUGAGGAAUUGAAUUAUUGUGCUCUAAUGUAUCCUAACUUCUAUUUGUUUUAGGAUAUUCUCACCAAGGAGAUUAUUGGUCGUGGCACUAAAAGGGAAGGGUUGUAUUACAUGGAUGAUUUCAGUUAUGGUCGAGCAAAUAAUAUGCAUUCUGCUGGAAUUAAGGAAAGACAGAUUUGAUUAUGGCACAAUCGGUUGGGGCAUCCCUCAUUUCAGUAUUUGAGAUGUUUAUUUCCAGAUUUAUUUAUGAAGUUUAAUGAGUCAGAUUUUAAGUGUGAAGCUUGUAUUCAAGCUAAGAGUCAUCGGGUACCUUAUUCAAUCAGUUUGAAUAAAUGUGACACUCCUUUUUUUAUUGUUCAUUCUGACGUUUGGGGCCCUGCUCCUAUUACUAUUUAUUAUGGUGUUUGUUGGUUUGUAACCUUUGUCGAUGAUUAUACACAAAUGACUUAGCUUUAUGUGUUGAAGAAUAAACAUGAAGUGUUUGAAAUAUUUCGAUCAUUUCAUAAUAUGAUUCAAACACAAUUUUCUGCUAAACUUCAAAUUCUUCGAUCUGAUAAUGACGGGGAAUAUGAUAAUGCACAAUUUCACAGAUAUUUUCAGGAACAUGGUUUGCAUCAUAAGGCAUCUUAUUCUCAAACACUGCAAUAGAACGGUGUUGCAAAGCGUAAGAAUAGACACAUUUUCGAAAUCACUCGAGCUCUCUUGACUGUUGCUUAUGUCCCUAAAUGAUUUUGGCCAGAUGCAGUAAUGACUGCUGUAUACUUAAUGAACCGACUGUCAUCACGAGUUUUGCACUACAAAACCCCUCUUCAAGUUCUCGCACAACAUGUGACAUUACCAUCAGUUUUAAUGCUUCCUCCAAGAAAGUUUGGUUGUGUUACAUAUGUUCAUAUACACAAGAAUCAACGGACAAAACUUGAUCCAUGUGAUGUCCGUUGUGUUUUUCUUGGCUAUGCAGCUCACAAGAAAGGAUAUCGAUGUUACGAUCCAGUUACAAGGCGACUCUAUACCACCAUGGAUGUCACCUUUAUUGAAUCAGAGAAUUUCUUCACUUCUCAAUCUUCCCGCUCCUCUCUUCAGGGGGAAAUGAUGAGUGAAGAGCAAAAUUGGGAAAAUUGGCCAGGCUUUGAAGAAACUUCAAAUGAUGUAGGGGAGGUUCAGCCAAGAGAACCAAUGGUAACACUGAUAGAUCAAAGAGAAGAAGAUGAAAAUGUUGAGCAUGUCGAAGCAAAAAAACCAGCAAGAGUAGAUCAAAAUGGAGAAGUUACGGAAAUUGAAAGUGAGCAACUCUUUCAUGACCUGACAGUACCACAAUCAGACCAAUCUCCUGAGAAUAUUCAUGAGGUACAAGUUCUAAACUCUCCUCACAAUAUUUCUGUUGGCUAUUAACUACCUUUCAGGUAUAACCGCGGGCAACCACCAAACCGCUAUUCACACGAUCAUGGAACGAGCAAGUCAAAGUACCCAAUUGCCAACCAUAUCUCAACUCAAAAAUUGUUUGAACCUCUCAAGGCAUUGGUUCAUAAAUUAUUUGUAGAUGGUGAUCUUGAUACAGUGAGUGAAGCCAUGAAUAAUCCCAAAUGGAUCCAAGCGAUAGAGGAAGAGAUGAAAGAAAUACAGAAAAUGAUACUUGGGUGCUUGUGCCAUUGCCUGAGGGGAAGAAAACUGUGGGAUGUCGAUGGGUGUUCUCUGUCAAACACAAAGCAGAUGGAUCGGUUGAAAGAUAUAAAGCAAGGCUUGUUGCGAAGGGAUAUACUCAGACAUAUGGGGUAGAUUAUCAAGAAACUUUCUCACUUAUAGAAAAAUUAAAUACUGUGAGAGUACUAAUCUCUCUUGCUACAAACUUGGACUGGCUGUUGCACCAAUUCGACGUCAAAAAUUCCUUUCUCCAUGGGGAUCUUGAAGAGGAGGUGUACUUGGACAUUCCACCUAGUUUUGUUUCUUCGACACAAGAGAAGAUAGUUUGUAAGUUACAAAAGGCAUUAUACGGAUUGAAACAGUCUCCUAGAGCAUGGUUUGGACGAUUUCGCCUUGUCAUGAGAAAACACGGUUUCAAGCAAAGUAAUUCAGAUCAUACUCUCUUCUUAAAGCACCAACGGGGGAAGGUAACAGCUCUAAUAAUCUAUGUUGAUGAUAUGAUAACUACAGGAAAUGACAAGGAAGAAAUCUCUAAAUUACAAGAGCAUUUAGCAACUGAAUUUGAGAUGAAAAAUCUUUGAGGGUUGAAGUAUUUUUUGGGGAUUGAAGUAGCUCGAUCAAAAUGAGGCAUAUUUCUAUCCCAAAUGAAGUACGUGCUUGACUUGUUGUCUGAAAUAGAAAUGCUUGAUUGUAGACCUGCUGAUACACCAAUUGUUCAAAACCAUGGCUUGGGAGAAUUUCCUAACCAGACCCCUACCAAUAAAGAAAGGUAUCAACGCCUUGUGGGAAAGCUGGUAUACUUAUCUCACACACGACCUGAUAUUGCUUAUGCGAUGAGCUUGGUGAGUCAAUUCAUGCAUUGUCCUAGCGAAGAUCAUAUGAGUGAAGUGGUUCGUAUUUUACAGUACUUGAAGUCUUCUCCAGGAAGAAGACUGAUGUUCACGAGAAACCAACAUCUGCACAUUGACGGCUAUAUAGACGUAGACUGGGCAGGGAACAUUACUGACAGAAAAUCUACAUUAGGCUACUUCACAUUUGUGGGAGGCAAUCUGGUCACUUGGAGGAGUAAAAAACAGAAGGUAGUUGCUUUAUCUAGUGCAGAGGCUAAAUUUAGAGGCAUGGCUAAAGGAUUGUGUGAGCUACUUUGGUUAAAAAAAUUAUUAGAGGAAAUUGAUUGUUCAUCUCAUGAAACAAUGAACCUGUUUUGUGAUAAUAAGGCAUCCAUAGCAAUCGCGCACAACCCAGUUCAACAUAACCGCACCAAACAUGUUGAAGUGGAUCAGCAUUUCAUCAAGCAGAAGCUCAAAGACAAGGUCAUUCAGUUUCCUUUUGUGAAGUCAGAAGAUCAACUAGCAGAUAUUCUUACAAAGGCUGCCUCUAGCAAAAUAUUUCACAACUCACUUGACAAAUUGGGCAUUGAUGAUAUCUAUGCACCAACUUGAGGGGGAGUAUUCAAGUGAGUUGUUGAAGGAGCAAUUAUAGAAAUAAAAAUAUUCUAGUUACCAAGUUAGUUUUAUUUGAUUGUAAAUCAUCCAAGAUUGUAGCCUAGAUUAGUGUGAUUAGUUUCUUCCAAAUUAACUUCAUGUACAGGUUAUAUAUAGCCCUCAUCUAUUGUAUCUUUUACAUAUAGAAGAAUACCAUUUUUCUUCUCCUCAACAAUCAUAGGAUUCUCCCUUCAGCCACAAGAUAUCAUAGUUUUUGGGCUUCUUCUUGCUACAAUAUGUUUGUUGUUGGCAACGGUAUUUAAUGCCAAAUGGAACAAGAAGAAAGGCAAAAGGCCACAGGAGCCGUCCGAGCGAUGGCCUAUUAUCGGUCACCUUCAUCUUCUAAGAGCAGACAAGCUGCUAUAUCGGACACUUGGAGACAUGGCCGAUAAGUAUGGACCAAUCUUUUGCAUUCAUCUUGGCCUUCGUAAAGCUUUGGUGGUUAGUAACUGGGAAGUAGCAAAGGAAUGCUACACUACCAAUGACAAGGUAUUCGCCACUCGACCAAGAUCCUUAGCAGUAAAGCUCAUGGGCUAUGAUCAUGCCAUGUUUGGAUUUGCUCCCUAUGGACCAUACUGGCGUGAUGUGCAGAAGCUAGCCAUGGUUGAGCUCCUCUCAAACUGCCAGCUUGAGAUGCUCAAACAUGUCCAGGACUCAAAGGUUGAGUUCUUAAUAAAAGAGAUCUAUGGGAUGGGCACGAAACAAGGAAAGCCCCACUUUGGUGGAGAUGAAGGAAAGAUUUGGGAACUUGGUAAUGAAUGUAAUGGUGAGCGCAACUGCAGGGAAACGGUAUUUUGGGACCCAUGCCUGUGGUGAUGAGCCAAAACGGGGCAAAAAGGCCUUGGACGAUUUUAUGCUUCUAGUGGGGCUGUUCAUGGUCUUGGAUGCCAUCCCUUUUCUCGGCUGGUUGGACACGGUGAAAGGGUAUACCACUGAUAUGAAGAAAAUAGCUAAGAAGGUGGAUUAUUUGCUUAGAAGGUGGGUGGAGGAGCAUCGCCAACAAAGGCUUUCCGCAAAGAAUAACAGAGUUGAGGUAGACUUCCUCCAUGUCAUGCUUUCUGUCAUAGAUGAUGGCCAAUUCUCUGGUCGUGAUCCUGAUACCGUCAUUAAGGCCACUUGCUUGGUAUGUCCCUGCUACUUCCAUAACUUGACCAUGAAAUGAAAAGAGAAAAAAAAUUAAAAAACACCAUCUACUAUCAUAAUUUCUGCAACUUUUUCUGCCCAAUUUCCUAAACCCUCGUAUUUCUACAAGGAUUCAUCAAAUCCAGUAUAGCUUUAUCAUCUGUAUUUAUAAUGACAAACCAGGCGGGGUGAUCAAAUUUCACUUGGAUUCUUAUUCACGGUUUGUUUUAUCAUUCUGAUAAACAUGGUAUUUCACUACUGAUAAGUAAACUUUUUCUGAUCACAUAUUGAAGAUAACACCAUAUGUUGAUUGUAGAACCUUAUAUUAGCUAGCUAUGACACAACCGCUAUCACUCUUACAUGGGCCCUCUCUCUUCUACUGAACAACCGCCACGCGCUAAAAAAAUCACAAGCAGGGAUGGAAAUCCAUGUGGGUAAGCAUCGCCAAGUGGAUGGAUCAGAUAUAAAGAACCUAGUCUACCUACAAGCCAUCGUCAAGGAAACAUUACGAUUGUACCCUCCUGGGCCACUUUCCGUGCCGCAUGAGGCCAUAGAAGAUUGCACUGUGGCAGGCUUUCACAUCCAAGCUGGGACGCGCCUUUUGGUUAAUCUUUGGAAGUUGCAUCGUGACCCCAGAGUCUAGUUGGACCCUUUGGAGUUCCAACCAGAGAGGUUCCUGACAAAGCAUGCAGGUUUGGAUGUUAGGGGUAAAAAUUAUGAAUUGACCCUUUGGUUCAGGUAGAAGGGUAUGCCUAAGAAUCUCAUUUGCACUGGAGAUGACGCAUCUGACACUAGCCAGACUGCUUCAUGGUUUUGAAUUGGGAGUAGUUGCAGAUUCACCAGUGGAUAUGACUGAAGGUCCUGGGUUGACUGCCCCCAAAGCAACCCCGCUGGAGGUCACCAUUGUUUCAAGGCUACCUUUCGAGCUCUAUAGUUAUGAAGCAUCAUAGAAACUAAAUAAUACUCUAUGAGCCAGAGAGUCCCCUAAUUAGCCCAAUGCUUUAGGGUAUAUUUAUGUUGUGUAACUCACUUUGAAUGGCCUGUGUAGUGGGUGUUCUUCUUUCUUGUCUUCUCGUCUCAAAUUUCAUCCACUUGGAUAGUAAUAAAUUUCCAUCUAUGAGUAAUUCUUUUUGUGUUACUUAAAAUAUAGACCACAACUGCACCAGCAACAAAAGGUUGUUGCAACAACAGAACUCAACAAAACCAAGAUCACUCAAGAAUUGUGCAAGUAGUUAGCAAUAUGGUAGUGUAGUUUGAACUGUGCAAAUAGUUAGGAAUCUGAUUGUGUAGUUUGUUAUAGCUGAAACUAUAAGUAGCAUAGUAGAGAACCUCUCCUGAACAUGUAAUUCUUCAUCUCAAUAUACAGAAACUAAAUUUGCAUUCUCCUGAUACAAACUUACAUGGUAUCAGAGCCACCCCUCUUCAUAUUUCCCUUAGUCUUCUCGGAUACAAGCUAAAGCUGCAAAUUCGUCCUCAACCAUAGCUCAAUCAAUGCAGAUGUUGAAUCAGGCACUGCCCAUUAAACUUGAUAAAGAUAAACUACCUGCAUUGGAAAACACAAUUGGAGAAUGUGAUCUUGGCAAACGGCUUUGAAAACCACAUUGAAGGUUUGACAGUCUAUCUUUCAAAAACAACAAGCAAUGGUGAAACGAAUCCAAAGUUUAUUCUUUGGCGAAGAUUUGACCAAAUGAUCCUCAGUUGGAUCUACUCCUCACUUACUCCAGAAAUUAUGGGUCAAAUAAAAGUGUAUCAAACCUCCCAUGAUGCAUGGUCCGCUUUGGAAAAGAUCUUCUCGACUUCAUCCAAAGCUUGGGUGAUGCAAUUACAACUAGAAUUGCAAACCACGAAGAAAUGAUCUCUCUCAAUGAUGGAUUACAUUCUCAAGUUGAAGAAUCUGACUGACCACUUAGCUGCCAUUGGAGAACUGGUACACAACAGAGAUCAUAUUCUGAAACUGCUUGGAGGGCUUGGUGUAGAAUACAAUUCCAUUGUGGCGUCUCUUAUAGCAAGAGAAGAUGAAGUUUCACUGCAUACGGUGCACAAUAUUCUGUUAACCUAUGAACAGUGCCUGAAUCUUUAGAAGUCAACAGAAAACAAUGUAAUCUCUACAAAUCUCACUACCACAUCGUCAAAUCACCACAACAACAGAAGGAAUUCCAAUUGAAAUUCCUCAAGAAACAAUAGCAGAAUAGUCAACUCUGAACGCAACUCUCAUGGCAAUAGAAACUUGGUCUCUCAUAAUCGCCCACAAUGUAAACUUUGUAAAAAGUCUGGACAUACUAUGGUCCAAUGUUAUUAUCGUUUCGAAUAAACUUCCAAGGGGUAAAUACCCACUCUGAAUCUAAGCCCCAUUCAACUAACAGAAAUCGAGAUUAAGCCCAUGUCAUGAUUGCAUCUUCUAUUAACAUAAAGAGUAAGGAAUGGUUCUUUGACACUCGCGCCACCCAUCAUCUUUCUCAAACUACCACCUCUCUGGACAAUAUACAAUCAUAUAAUGGCAAUGACAAGGUGACAAUCGGGAAUGGUACACAAUUUCCCAUUCUUCAUACGGGUACUAAAAUUUUUCAGUUUCCUUUUAAAGUGUUUCAAUUAAAAAGAGUUCUUCAUGCUCCUCAUCUUGCAACCAAUCUUGUUAGUGUCGCUCAUUUCUGUGCUGACAACAAUACAUUUGUUGAGUUUCAUCCUCGGUUCUUUCUUGUCAAAGAACAGGUUACCAAGAAAGUUCUUCUCAAAGGUCAUCUCGAACGAGGAUUGUAUAAAUUUCCUACCAAUUUUAGCUCCACUGCAGGCUUGUUCUCUAGCCUCAGCAACUUUUCAUCUUUAAAUUCCACGAUUGAGCUUUAGCAUUCUCAACUUGGUCAUCCUGCUGAAGAUAUAAUGAAACAUGUUCUGAACAACUGUAAUAUUUCUUAUCAAUGUAAUAAACACCAAAUCUAUUAUGUCUAUCAAUAUGCCAAAAGUCACAAGUUGCCAUUUUCGUUGUCCAUGUCAAGAGCAUCUCAUCCUUUAGCACUUGUUCAUGCUAAUUUUUGGUUGUAGUUUCACCCUUAAAACAGAGAUUGGCUAUAAAAAAGAAAAAAUGGAAGAGUAACACCUAGGAAUAGAGGAGUUAAAAACAGUCCACCAAAAACAGAGGACCUUUUUUCUUUUCUUCACUUUGUAUUCUCAGUUAUGUUGUUUUUGUUGUACAGUAUGUAGUUUUGAAACCAAAUGCAAAGAGAUUUAACUUGAGUAAACCUCUCCACAUGGAAGCAUGACAACCACUCAAAACAUAAAAACAAAAAACUUAUUUUUUACAUAUAUAACCUAAACACAGCAUAGGCACAUUAUGUUACAUUCUCCCCCCUAAUGUGAUGUUCCUCCAUACCAAAAAGCUUUCGGAAGUGAACCCAAAAGUUUCUCAACAAUUCUUUUAUCACUAAUUUCUUCGCCAUAUGACUUCAUCUGAUUUACUAAUCUAAAAGAAAACUCAUUUAGAAUUUCAUUCUCCUUCAUUUUCAUAUUUUCCAACUCUCUUCUUAAAGCUUGAAGCUUAAUUUUUACAUAAAAAACAAAAAACUUAAUUUUUACAUAUAUAUAUAUAACCUAAACACAGCAUAGGCACAUUAUGUUACACUAAUAUCUAGGCUCCUGCACCCACUUUGUCUACUUCCGAUGCAUGAUUUUUUCUGCUACUCAUAGAUGAGUUCUCAAGAUUUUCUUGGCUUUAUCCACUGCACACCAAAGAUUAAGUACUUACAAUGUUUAUAAAAUUUCUCACUUUAGUGGAAAAACAACUUAACUUCAAAAUUAAGAGCCUACAAUCAAAUAACGAUGGUGAAUUCAAAGAAUUUUCUUCCUAUCUUGCUGCUCAUAGCAUUGAACACAAGUUCUCCUACCCAUACACACCUGAACAGAAUGGGAGAGUCAAGCAGAAAUUGAGACAUGUUAUAGAAACUAGUCUUGCUUUUCUAGCCAAAGCCUCCUUACCUCUCUCUUUCUGGUUGUAUGUUUUUCAUACUGCCAUAUUCCUCAUCAACUAUCUACCUACCAAGGUACUUAAAUAUCAAUCUCCAUUUCAAACUCUUUUUGGGAAAAUUCCUAAUUAUCAUUAUCUCAAGACAUUCGGUUGUCUUUGCUACCCAUACAUUAGACCAUACAACAAGCAAAAACUGCAAUAUUGUUCUACUCCAUGCAUCUUUCUUGGCUAUAGAAACAAUCACAAAGGAUACUUAUAUUUUGAUCCAAAAACUACCAGACUUUAAAUAACUAGACAUGUUAUUUCUCAUGAAUCAAUCUUUCCAGCUCUAUCACCUUCAACUUCUUCUAAUCCUAGUUCUUCCAUUUACACUCAUGCAUUUCUUCCCAUAAACAUGUCCUAUUCUCUUGCUUUAUCUUCUCCUGACGUUCCACAGCAUAAUCCCACACCUUUGUCUUCACCACUUCACUCAUCUUCUGACCACACCCUUCAAACUAUACUUAACAAUGCUCCUCAGCAUCCUCCUAUUAUGAAUAAUUAUCAUAUGAUAACGCGUGCCAAGGAUGGCAUUGUAAAAAAGAAAGCUUUUUUGUCUCACAUGCCCACUAAACCAGCAACAUUUUCUCAAGCUAUCAAAAGUUUCUACUAGUCCAAGGCUAUGUAACAAGAGUAUGAUAUUCUACUCAAAAACAAAACAUGGAAUCUAGUUCCUGGUCCUUCAAAUGCCAAUAUUAUCGACUGCAAAUGUUUGGUCAAAAUUUAUCCAAACAUGAUGGAGAUCUUUCCAUGAUGUCACACUAUAUUGGCACAGUUGGUGCUCUUCAAUACCUCACAUUCACGAGACCUAAUAUUUCAUUUGUUGUCAACAUAUCAUGCCAGUUUAUGAGUAGUCCCUCCAACACACAUUGGCUUGUUGUAAAGCGCAUCUUACGUUAUCUUAAAGGCACUACAUCUUAUGGUCUUUCCAUGCAACUGUCUCUCUUUGGACAUUUAAGCAUACACUGAUGCAGAUUGGGCUUUUUGUACAAAUGACAAAAGAAGCACCAGUGGCUAUUGUAUUUUCACUAGGCCAAAAUUGGCAGCAAGUAGAAAGUUGUUUCAAGAAGUAGUGUGGAAUCUGAGUAUCAUGGCAUAACUGUUGUCACUUCCAAAAUUGCUUGGAUUCAAUCUCUACUCACCGAGUUAUGUCUUUCUCCUUCAGCACCACCACUUCUGUGGUGUGACAACCAAAGUGUUGCACAUCUUGCUGCCAAUCCCAUAUUUCAUGCUCAAGCAAAGCAAAUUGAACUCGACCUUCAUUUUAUUCGUAAUAAAGUCCUUCAAAACCAACUUAGUAUUCGGUAUCUUCUCUCUUUCAACCAAAUCAUUGAUAUCUUCACUAAACAUAUCUCAAGCUCUCGGUUUUUUUAGCUUUCAAACCAAACUCUUUAUUGUUCUCAAACCUUUGUUCCCAAACCUGCGAGCUUGUGGGGGGAUGAUAGGCCACAACUGCACCAGCAACAAAAGGCUGUUGCAACAACAGAACCAAGAUCACUCAAGAACUAUGCAAGUAGUUAGGAAUUUGGUAGUGUAGUUUGAAUUGUGAAAAUAGUUAGGAAUUUGGCAGUGUAGUUUGUUACAACUGAAACUAUAAAUAGUAGAGAAGAGAACCUCUCCUGAACAUGUAAUUCUUCCAAUCAAUAUACAUAAACUAAAUUUGCAUUCUCCUUAUACAAACUUAUACUCCUUUCUCAUCUUCUCAUCUCAAAUUUCAUCCACUUGGAUGGUAUAUCUAUGAGUAAUUCUUUUUGUGUUACUUAAAAUAUCUUAAGUUUGUUUUUUAUAAAAACAAAAACAGGUUUGACACUAAAAAAAAAAAUAGAAAAUGGUUUUAAAAUAUCUACCUCUUUCAACUAUUCUCACUUAUUUUAAAAAAUAAAUAUAAAAAUAUGUAAAAUGAUAAUAAAUAAAUAAAUAAAGUACUGACAUAAAAUUUAUUUUUAAAAAUAUAUAUAUAUUUAAAAACAUAAAAAAUAAAUUAAUAAUAUUUCAAAUUCUAAAAUAGAAUUUUAUUCACAAAACAUCAAAGAACAAUUAUUAGAAACAAUUCUCAAAUAUCAUUUUCAUAAUUGUUUUUUAAAACACUUCCCAUUUCUCUAUAGUUUUUUUUUUAGAGAAUUAUUUAUUAAGAGUCAUCUUGCCAGUGAUCCUAACAAGUGUUUUUAGUUCAAAAAAAGUUUUUGAUGACAGAAUUUAGGAAAUACUUUUCAAAUUUUGAAAAAUCAUUUUUUAGAUAAAUGCUUAAUAGAUGAUUUUACGAAAAAACAAUUUAUAAGAAAACACUGUCAAUAAAAAAAAUUGAGUAGAAACACUUUCAAAUACACUUAAAAUGUUUUUUUAAUAAGUAUUACAAGUGAUUUUUUAACUUUUUAAAACCAUUGUUUAAAUUUUAUCUAAUUUUUUUUUCUCAAAAAUAUUUUUGUACGUAAGCUAGAACUAGAAGUACUUCUAACUUCAAAGAAUCUUUACCCAGCCGUUAACGUUUUAGACACCGUGGUUACCAGGCCCUUCUCUCAUGCAAUUGCUUAUAUAAAAACAAACACUUUUGUUACUUGGUACUAAAGCGCAUUAGAACUUUAGACAAAACAGAAGAUUCCUUACUUUUAUUUAGGCAUCAAACCCACUCAUUCAAGCAUAUUUAAAUUUAAAUGCAGUCGUCCAUGUAUACACAAAAGACCCAUUACCAAGAAGGUGAUCAUCCUUUUUCAGGGUUGGUUGUUCAAAAUUCAAAAUCAGUUAGCUGAAGAACAGAAAGGAAAAGAACAGAGCUGAAUUUGCAGAAAAGUAUUUUUUUUCUUUUUCCUUUUCUAAGGAUCUUGGAAUCCUUCUCCUAGUAUAGACAGAACAUUAGACGUAUAUAUAUGGUAGUGGGAAGUGAUUCUUCCCCAUAAAACAUUUUCUUUUCUAUUGAGUCAUGGGAUUCUAUCUUCAGCUUCAAGGGAUCAUAGUUUUUAGCCUUCUGUUUGCUAUCAUCUGUUUGUGAUUGAUUAAGGGCAAAGGGAACAGAAACAGAGGAAAAAGGGCACCAGAACCAUCACGGGCAUGACCUUUAAUCGGACACCUUCAUCUUCUACGAGCAGGCAAGCCCCAACAUCAAGCAUUUGGAGCCAUGGCAGAUAAGUAUGGACCAAUCUUUUGCUUUCAUAUUGGCCUGCGCAAAACUUCGGUGGUUAGCAGCUGGGAAGUAGCAAAAGAAUAUCUCACUUGAUGUUAAAAAUUGGAUACAAUAGAGAAAAGAAACACUCUCAAACACUCUCUUGAUACAAUAAAACUCUCAAAGUUACAAAAUAAGAACAAGAAGAAGAAGAACACAAGAAAGGCUCAAACAAGUUCUUGGAAUUUUGUCCAAAGACUCUAUUUCCUCCCACCACUAGAAAUCUUUAGGGAACUAAUGGAAAUAGUCUUGGGAUUGAUCAAGCCUUUUCACUUUUCUGCAUAAGAUUUCAAAAAGAAGAAAAGUCAUAUAUAGCACUCUUAGGGUUGAAAAAUGGUUACAAGGAUGAGAAAAAACUCAUUGUCUUCCUCAAUCUCUUCAUCUUUGUAACAUUCAAAAAUUAAAUCAUAUGUUUAAUUCACACAUUAAACAUGAUUUAAUCUCAAAUGUGUAACUCUCUUACACUUAACCUCUUAAGUUUUAUAAAGUUACAAAGAUGAGAAGACUCAUUGUCUUCCUUAACCUUUCAAGUUUUGUAACAUUUCAAAACUUAAUCAUGUGUUUAAUUCACACAUUAAAAGUGUAACCCUUCUUACACUUUAUUUUCAAAAGUUAUUUUUCAAAAGUGUAACUCUUCUUACACUUUAUUUUUAACCAACAAUAUAUAUAUAUAUAUAUAUAUAACAAUCCCCCACUUGGUUAAAAAUAAACAUCAACCCUUAUAACCUCAACAAUGAAAAUGCAUAAAAUAAAAUAUCUUUCGAUUUGAAUUUUACCUUAGUGUAAUUGUCACAAAGCUCCGUUGAAAUCCCAGGUUGCUUGUAGCAUUAAACCAGUUAUUCCUUGUAACGAAACCGGUAACAACACACACACUUCCACUAACCACAUGAGUGCCCAUUAUUUUCUUGCUUAGCACUUUUAUGGCCAUGUGCUCAAUCCAUUCAUGAACUUUCUUGAAAGAAACUCCAACUCUCAUGAGAGGCGGCACCACCCCUAAGUUCACAUAGGUGAAAUUCUUCCAGCAUCCUUGUUACCUUUAAGAUGCUUGUCACACAUAGACUGAAUUUCAUUAAAAGCUUUAAGCUUAACCCUCCAACGGUAACAACCAGCAUUAAUCAUCACAGAUGGAACUCACAUGUUCUAAUGCUGCCACAACCCACUUAUCAAUGACUUGUUUUUACCUAUUGAACUUAAGACUAGUCAUUUCGUAGUAUUAAGUUAGGUUACCAUCAUUGGUGAAUUUUAUUUAAGGAGUUUUAGUCACAUCCCUCUAGAUGUUAUCCUUACUAAAUCUCUUGUAAGAGGCUUAGUAAAAGGAUCCGCCAAGUUUCCACUUGACCUCACAAAUGAGAUUGAGAUGAUUCCAUAUUGAAUCAAUUGUCUCACAUACUCAUGUCUAAUGCUUAUAUGUCUAGACUUCCCAUUGUACACUCCACUGUACGCACGAGCUAGAGUGGCUUGACUGUCACAAUGUAUCGACACUGUUGACACAUUAUUUGCAGUAAAAGGGAUGUCCAUCAUGAGAUCCCUAAGCCACUCAGCUUCUUUUCCAAUUGCAGCUAGAGCUAUAAACUCUGCCUCCAUGGUUGAGUGUGAUAUACAAGUCUGUUUCUUGGAUCCCCAAGAGACAACCCCACCACCAAGUGUAAACACCCAACCUGUGGUAGAUAAAUUAUCUCCCACACUCGAUAUCCAGCUUGCAUCUGAAUACCCUUCAAGUAUAGCAGGAAACUUUGAAUAUUGGAGGCUUAGUUCUUUGGUAUUCUUUAGGUAACCAAGAACUCUACCAAUAGCUUUCCAAUGUUCCACGCUUGGAUUGCUAAUAAACCUACUUAGUUUACUAACUGCAAAUGAAAUGUCAGCCCUAGUACACUGAGCAGCAUACAUAAGACUUCCAAUUGCACUUGCAUACUCAAGUUGAGCCACAGAUCUACCAUCAUUCUUUUCAAGUUUUAUACUUGAAUCAAAUGGAGUAUUAGCAUCUUUAAUCUUGAGAUGAUUAAAUUUGCUAACUACUUUCUCAAUAUAGUGGGUUUGGUUCAAAGCAUAACCCCCACUAUUUCUUUUCACUUUGAUACCCAAUAUAGUAUCAACUUCUCCAAGAUCUUUCAUCUUGAAGGUUGAGGAUAGAAACCUUUUCGUUUCUAUUAUUCCUUUCAUGUCAUCACUCAAGAUUAACAUGUCAUCCACAUAUAGACACACUAUGACCAUAUAGUCAUCACAAGUCUUAGAAUAUAAGCACUUGUCCACAUUGUUGUGUCUAAAUCCAUCCGAAAGAAUAGCAUGAUCAAAUUUUUCGUGCCAUUGUUUGAGAGUUUGUUUUAAACCAUAUAAUGAUUUGACAAGUUUACACACUUUGUUUUCAUUCCCCAGUGGAACAAAACCUUCCGGUUGUUCCAUGUAGACUUCCUCAUUGAGAUCCCCAUUCAAGAAUGCCGUUUUGACAUCCAUUUGAUGAACAAAUAGAUUAUGAAUUGAUGCCAAAACAAACAAUAUCCUAAUUGAUGUUGUUCUAGCCACCGGCAUAGGUAUCAAAAUAAUCAAUACCUUCUCUUUGUUUAAACCCCUUAGCUACUAAUCUAGCCUUAAAGGUUUGAAUCAUGCCAUCGUUGUGAUAUUUCCUUCGAAAUACCCACUUGCACCCUAUUGGUUUAGAUCCUGGUGGAAGGUCUACCAAUUCCCAUGUUUGGUUGGACAUAAUUGAAUCCAUUUCAUCAUUGAUAACCUCUUUCCAAAAAGCAACAUCUCUAGAAGCCAUAGUUUCUUUGUAUGUUUUGGGAUCCUCCUCUAUUUGAAGUACUAUAGGAAUUUUUCUUAUAAUAUCUUCUCUAUUUCCUUCUACUAAGUAAAAGGAAAUUCUUUGAGAGUCAAUCUCAUCUGAUCCCAACACUUUCUCUUUUCUAGCUCUUUGGCUUUUCCAAGGCACAAUGGGUUGCUCAACAACCUUUGAAGGUGUCUCCUCUAGAGACUCUCCAACACUAGUAGGUACUUGAGAAUUGCUAUCACUCAACAAAUUCUCAAAGAACUCUACCUCUCUUGAUUCAAUUAUCACAUUAGACUCCAAGUCUAAUAGCCUAUAAGCUUUGCUAUUUGAGGCAUAGCCUACAAAUGCACACUUAAUGGCUCUUGGACCCAAUUUUGUUUCAUGUGGAUCCGUUUUCUUGCAAUAAGCAAGACACCCCCACACUUUGAAGUAACCUAUAUUAGGCUUCCUUCCUUUCCAUAACUCAUAUGGAGAUAUCUCAUUUUUCUUCAUAGGAAUUCUAUUAAAAUAUGACCCCUACAUAUGAGCUCAUCCUCCUCUCUCUUCUUCCUUGCCGCCACCACUUGAGGUGUGUCAUUUUCCUUUGGUUCCGGUAACGGUGCCAAGGUAGGAUCAAGGAUGUAGAAAAUCUUGAGUGCUGUGAGAAGGAAUCUCACCUUGUCUUGCCACCUAGUGAAGUUGGAACCAUCAAAACGAUCCAACCUCACAAGGUCUUGGUUCAUAAUCUUGAUAAUCUCUCCUUCCAUUGAAAAAUAGAGUCUUUGAUUGAUGUUAAAAAUUGGAUACAAUGGAGAAAAGAAACACUCUCAAACACUCUCUUGAUACAAUAAAACUCUCAAAGUUACAAAAUAAGAACAAGAAGAAGAAGAACACAAGAAAGGCUCAAACAAGUUCUUGGAACUUUGUCCAAAGACUCUAUUUCCUCCCACCACUAGAAAUCUUUAGGGAACUAAUGGAAAUAGUCUUGGGAUUGAUCAAGCCUUUUCACUUUUCUACAUAAGAUUUCAAAAAGAAGAAAAGUCAUAUAUAGCACUCUUAGGGUUGAAAAAUGGUUACAAGGAUGAGAAAAAACUCAUUGUCUUUCUCAAUCUCUUCAUCUUUGUAACAUUCAAAAAUUAAAUCAUAUGUUUAAUUCACACAUUAAACAUGAUUUAAUCUCAAAUGUGUAACUCUCUUACACUUAACCUCUUAAGUUUUAUAAAGUUACAAAGAUGAGAAGACUCAUUGUCUUCCUUAACCUUUCAAGUUUUGUAACAUUUCAAAACUUAAUCAUGUGUUUAAUUCACACAUUAAAAGUGUAACCCUUCUUACACUUUAUUUUCAAAAGUUAUUUUUCAAAAGUGUAACUCUUCUUACACUUUAUUUUUAACCAACAAUAUAUAUAUAUAUAUAUAUAUAUAUAUAUAUAUAUAUAUAUAUAUAUAUAUAUAUAUAUAUAUAUAUAUAUAUAUAUAAAUAUAACAUCACUACCAUGGACAAAGCAUUUGCCACUCAACCCAGAUCCUUGGCAGGAAAGCUCAUGGGCUAUAACCAUGCCAUGUUUGGCUUCUCUCCUUGCAGGGCAUACUAGCAUGAUGUAAGGAAGUUGGCCUCGAUUGUGUUGGAUUGUGAAGCUUGAACCAGUUUUAUUGCUCUUCGCUCGGGAUGUCGGGAGUCGAACUGCCCGAUCAACUCAUGAGGGUCAAAUGGUUGCAAAGUUUGUUGACAAAGGUGAGAUUCAAACAUGUGAUGAAUGUUUUGUAUAGUGAUAGCCAAAGUGCAAUACAUUUUGCUAAGAAUUCAGCAUUUCAUUCUAGGACUAGACAUAUAACAAUUCUUUAUCACUUUAUCAGGCCUUUGCUUGAAGAUGGAAUGUUAACACUUGUGAAAAUACACAAUAACAAGAAUCCAACUUACAUGUUGACCAAAGCACUGAUAGUAGAGAAUCUAGAGCAUAUAACGCUUUCUGUAGCUUACAAACAUGUUGGGGAUGAGAUGUGCUAACAAAUCCAGCUGGUUGGGAAAGAUAAACAGUUUCUACAAUUUCUCCAUUGAGGAAGGCAUUGUUGAAAUCAAUUUGUCGAAUCUCCCAAUUAUAUGUUACAGCCAAUGUAAAUACAACUCGCAUAGUAGAGGAUUUGAUCACUGGACUGAAAGUAUUAGUAAAUUCCACACCUACAUAUUGUUGAAAUCCUUUGGCUACUAGUCUGGCCUUGAAGCGUUGGAUGGUACCAUCAAAAUUAUAUUUGACACAAAAAAUCCAUUUUCUAUCUAUGACAUUCAUGGAUGGAUGAAAGAGAACCAAGGUCCAAGUAUUUUUUACUAAGGCUUGAUAUUCUUCAACCAUAGCUGUGUGGCAGUUGGGAUUUUUCAAUGCUUGACUAACAGUGGUAGGAAGUUGGUCUGGGGGUGAAAUGGAAGUAGACAGGUAUGUAAUAUGGUCUGGGAGUAGUUUGGGUUUAAAUUUACCCACUUUUGAACGAGUAGUCAUGGGAUGAAGAGAAGAAGCUGAAAUAGGAGGUGAGGGAAUAGAAGGGGACACUGGUCUUGAUGCAGCGGGACACAUGGAAGGAUGAGAAAAGGUAUGUGACAUGGUUUGUAAAAGGGGUAUAGAGAAAGAUGUGGAGGAAGUGUGUAGGGUAGGACUAGAAUCAUUCAUUGGUAGAGAUGAAUAGGGAAAUGUUUUUUCAUAAAAAAAUAAUGCUUCUUGAAAUGUAAACUUUCCUGGAAUGAUGUAAAUAUAGGUAUCCUUUAUGGGAGAGACUAUAUCCAAUAAAUAUGCAUUGAGUUGACUGAUAUUCUAGUUUAUGGUUUUUGUAAGGUCGGAGAUACGGAUAGCAAGCACAGCCAAAAGUCUUCAAGAAUAAAAAAUUAGGUGAGGACUUAAACAAGAGUUCAUAGGGAGUCUUACAAUGGAAAACCGGAGUUGGUAGUCUAUUGAGAAGGUAAGUUGUUGUAGAGAAGGCAUGCCACCAGAAAGUAAAUGGCAAUUGAGACUUAGCCAAUAAAGUCAAUCCAAUUUCUACAAUGCUUCUAUGCUUUCGUUCCACCUUCCCAUUUUGUUGAUGAACAUGAGGACAAGGAUGACGGAAGAGGAUGUCUUUCUUCUACAGAAGAUAUUGAAGGGGACGAAACUCUCCACCCCAGUCUGUUUGUAGACACUUAAGUUUGGUGGGAAAUUGUCGAUCUACCAAUGCUAUGAACUGCAAGACAAUUGAUGUUGCUUGGGACUUUUGUUGCAUGGGAUAAAUCCAAGUACAGUUUGUAAAAGCAUCUACAAAUGCAAUGUAAUAUUUGUACCCAUCACAUGAAGUUGUAUGUACAGGACCCUACACGUCCGAAAAAACUAGUUCGAAUGGAACUUGUGUUUUAUUAAUAGUGGUAGAGAAUGAAAGCUGUUUUGCCUUGCCUAAAGGACAAGUAGUACAAAAACCGAGUUCGUUUUGGAGCUUGGAAUUAAUGCCUAAUCUGUCAAGUACUAGAGACACAGUUUUGUUGCAUGGAUGACCCAAUCUUUGAUGCCACAAGUGUCCAACACCCAUGUUGCUGUCUUCUACACAUCUUGUAGACUCAAUUUUAUUUAUUUGCAGGCUAUAUCCAACAGAUGGAGCAGCUGGUUGUUUGUUGAUAGUAGAUGGAGUAGUAGCUAGAUGAGGUAGGAACACAUUUGUAUCUUCAGAGAAACCUGCAAACUGCCGGUUAGAUGAGACCUUGGAAAUAUCCAACUGAUAUAGGCCUUCCUUAAGGUUGCCUUGGAGUAAUAUCUCUCUGGACUUCUUGUCCUUAACAAAACAGCAAUGAGAGUCAAACUCAAGGAUAACAUCAUUAUCUUGAGUGAAUUUAGCUACAUUGAUCAGAUUUUUAGUGAUCUGAGGUACAUGAAGUACAUUGGUAAGAUGCAAUGACUUGGAAGAUUUACAUGAAGGAAAAGAAGUAUGACCAACACUAGAUAUAUCUAGUGUUUGUCCAUUGCCCACCACAACAUUACCUGUGCCAGAGUAGUGAUCAAAGACAUCAUGAGUAUUGGAAUCAGUGGUCAUGUGGUGAGUAGCACCAUUGUCAACAAACCAUGAAGUGUUUGAAUCAAGAUCCGGAGUAAGAAUAUAGGCACGAGGAGAAGUGUUUGUUGAAUCCUGUUGUUGGUGUGAAUUUUAAAUUGGAAGUGAUGGUAUCAGUGGCCUUGUGGAAUAAUAUUGAGGCUGACUUUGAGGCUGUAUUUGUGGUUGUAGUGGAGGUGGCCGAAGUUGAGGUUGUUGCGGUUGAUGAAGAGAUGGAAACUGUUGAUUUUAUGCACAUGGUGGAGAUUGGAAGUACACAUCAAAACGGUGGAAGCACUUCAUAGCAGUGUGUCCCAUUUUUCCACACAAUUGACAAACAAUUCUUAAAGUUUGUGGAUUAUGUACAUUUCUAUGACGAAAAUUCCUGUUGCUUGAGCCUCUAAACUGUCCAUCAUUAGUGUUAGAAUUUUGAACACCUCCAACUGUAAUAUGUGCUGCUGGUGAACGUCAAUAACAAAGGCUGUUGAAAGUUGCUCAAGACAAAUUUCAUGACUUUGUAGCAGAUAAUGGACUUCUUGUAGAGAGAUUGCCUCAGAUCUAGAUGUAAUAUUCACAACAAUUGUUUCAAAUUCUAGUCCUAAUCCACCUAAAAUGUAAAGAAUUAAAUCUUCAUCUGGUAUAGGUUUUCCAGAGGCAGAGAGCAUAUCUGCUAUGUUUCUCAUUUUUAGCACAUAAUCCUUUAUGCUUAGAGCACAUUUCUUUAAUGAUUGUAGCAUGAAACGUAGUUGAAGAGUUCUUGCCUUUGAAUUAGAGACAAAAAGUUUUUAAAAGAACACUCCAUACUUUGGCUUAUGUUUGACAAUUAACCACAUGACCAUACAUGGCUUCAUAUGGAAGCAAGAAUCCAACUCAAAAAGAAUUGAUCUAAAAUCACCCAUUGAUCAUAUUCUGGAUUGGAUGCAGGUUGAGAUGAAUUAACUGAUGUUGAUUGAGAGAAUCUUGGAGGUUUUGGUAGCUUACCAAUGAGAAUUUGAUCCAAUUGAUGUGCUCUAGCUGCUGGUAAUACCUAAGAUCGCCAUAUUGUGUAAUUGUUCAUCUCUAGCUUCACCGAGAUCGGAUGAAGCAUAGAAGAACUUUGUCCCUUAAGAAUUGAGGAAACUUCCAACGAGUUUCUUGCCGGAGAUUGGAGUCCUUGUGAGGACAUCUCUGGUGCAGAGAAAUCGAUGUGAUCAAUCACCAUUUUGGAUGUGUGUCAAUGGAGCUCUGAUACCAUGUCUGGUUGAAGAAAAAUAAAGAAAACAGGAUUGUAGCAGAAAACAGAGUAUGAAGAAGAGAAAAAACAGAGUAUUAGAAAUUCUGGAACUAAAAAACGUGUUCUUGCAUUCCACUCUUCAUCUGAUUGAUUUACAUAUGUUUUUAUAUCAAAACUUAUAGACUUUAACUCUGGUUACCAAUUAACCGUAGUUACUAACUGACCAUAGUUAUAGUUACAGGGGUUAGCUAACUUCCUAACUGAAUUUGGUUAGCUUAACAGGCUAUGAUGAUGGCUCGUUUGUCUUUGCUCCUUGUGGACCAUAUUGGCGUGAUGUGCAGAAGCUAGCCAUGGCUGAGCUGCUUUCAAACCGCCAACUUGAGAUGCACAAGCAUGUCCAGGACUCAGAAGUCAAGAUCUUAAUAAAAGAGCUUUAUGGGCAAUGGGCAAUGGGCAAUGGGCAAGCAACAAGGACUCCCCGCUUUGGUGGAGAUGAAGGAAAGAUUUGGGAACUUGGCACUGAACGUAGUGGUGAGAGCAAUUGCUGGGAAACGGUAUUUUGGGACCCAUGCCUGUGGUGAUGAGCCAAAACGGUGCAAAAAGGCCUUUGAGGAUUUCAUUAUUCUAGUGGGGCUGUUCAUGGUCUCGGAUGCCAUCCCUUUUCUCGGCUGGUUGGACACGGUGAGAGGGUUUACCCCUGAAAUGAAGAGAGUAGCUAAGGAGGUGGAUUAUGUGCUUGGAAGCUGGGUGGAGGAGCAUCGCCAGAAUAGGCUUUCUGCGAACGACAAUAGGGCUGAGCAAGACUUCAUACAUGCCAUGCUUUCUGUCAUAGAUGAUGGCCAAUUCUCUGGCCGUGAUCCUGACACCAUCAUUAAGGGCACUUGCUCGGUAUGUCCCUGCUACUUCCAUAACCUGAGCAUGAAACGAAAAGAAAAAAAAGCACCAUCUACUAUCAUAAUUUCUACAACUUUUUUCGCCCAUUUCCUAAACCCUCCUCACAUUUCUACAAGGAUUCAUCAAAUCCAGUAUAGCUUUAUCAUCUGUACUUAUCAUGACAAACCAGGCGGGGUGAUCAAAUUUCACUUCGAUUCCUUAUUCACGGUUUGUUUUACCAUUCUGCUAAACAUGGUAUUUCACUACUGAUAAGUAAACUUUGCCUGAUCGCAUAUUGAAGUCGACAUCAUAUGUUGAUUGCAGAACCUCAUAUUAGCUGGCUAUGAAUCAACAUUUAUCACUCUUACAUGGGCCCUCUCUCUUCUACUGAACAACCGCCAUGCGCUAAAAAAUGCACAAGAAGAGCUGGAAAUCCAUGUGGGAAAGCAUCGCCAAGUGGAUGGAUCAGAUAUAAAGAACCUAGUCUACUUGCAAGCCAUCGUCAAGGAAACAUUACGACUGUACCCUCCUGGGCCACUUUCCCUGCCACAUGAGGCCAUUGAAAAUUGCACUGUGGCUGGCUUUCACAUCCAAGCUGGGACGCGCCUUUUGGUUAAUCUCUGGAAGUUGCAUCGUGACCCCAGAGUCUGGUUGGACCCUUUGGAGUUCCAACCAGAGAGGUUCCUGACAAAGCAUGCAGGUUUGGAUGUUAGGGGUAAAAAUUAUGAACUUCUACCCUUUGGUUCAGGUAGAAAGGUAUGCCCAGGAAUCUCAUUUGCACUGGAGUUGACGCAUCUGACGCUAGCAAGACUGCUUCAUGGUUUUGAAUUGGGAGCGGUUGCAGAUUCACGGGUGGAUAUGACUGAAAGUCCUGGGUUGACUGCCCUCAAAGCAACUCCACUGGAGGUCACAAUUGUUCCAAGGCUACCUUUCGAGCUCUAUAGUUAUGAAGCAGCAUAGAAAGUAAAUAAGACUCUUACGUGAGCCGGAGAGUCCCCUAAUUAGCCCAGUGCUUUAGUUUAGGGUAUAUUUAUGUUGGUGUGACUGACUUUGAAUUGCCGGUGGAGUGGGUGUUCUCCUCAAAUUUCAUCCACUUGGAUGGUAAUAAAUUUCCAUCUAUGAGUAAUUCUUUUUGCAUUACUUAAAAUAUCUUAAACCUGUUUUUGAGAAAAAGUAAAAAAUAAAAAGCCAUGCCUGAAACAAAAAAAAAAAAAAAAAGAAAAAAAGAAAAAGAAAAAGCAUGGCUUUAUUUUAACUAUUUUCAUUUAUUUUAAAAAAAUAAAUAUAAAAAUAUACAUGAUAAUAAAAUAAAUAAAUAAAUAAAGAACUAACAUGAAAGUUAUUUAAAAAAAAUUAAAAAUAUUUCAAGUUCUAAAAUAAAAUUUUAUUCAUAAAACAUCAAAAAACAAUUUUAAAAAACAAUUCUCAACUAUCAUUUUUCAUAACUAUUUUUAAAACACUUCUCAAAUACAACCUUAAAUUUUGAACUCCUUCCAAAACCAAGUUUCGAUGAUGCUGCACCUUAUGCUUCUUCAUCAUUUGGAGUGCCUACUCUUGACUUAUUAACACAUCAUAAAAAAUUGAUCCUGAUUUUCAUAGUAAAAUCAUAUGGAUUAAUUGGGAAAUAGUUAACUGUACAAAGUUGCAGCCUGCAGGCCCUCAUGAUCGACCUGCACUUAGCAUUUUCUUUCCCACAAGAUGAAUACAACAUUUGGCAGCAAUCAUAGGAUCAUCAUGAACGACCUAUUGAACUCAAUAUUAAAAUAUCUUAUAUUAACUGAGCAUCCAACCCACCACCACAACUCAGACAACUUUAAAGAAAUUAGAAUCCAAUUACUAUAUUAUUGGUAGAAGAUUGGAAUCAAAUGCUCUAAAUUAAUUUCCCUUAAGCGGACAAGAGUUUUACAUGUUCACAUAUAUGCCAUACAAUCUCAUGGAACACUUUCUAAUAUUACUAUCCAACGGAUUCCAAAAAUGCAUUUGUCAAUGUUUUUACUAAAAAUGGUUUUUGUAAAAGUAUUUUCUCUAAUAGUCUUUUUCGGUGAAUCAUUUAUUAAGAAUCAUCUUGACAGUGAUCUUAGGAAAUGCUUUUAGCCUAAAAAAUGUUUUUAAAAAAACAUCACAUAUUUGAGAAUUUAAGAAAUAUUUUCAAAAUUUUCAAAUUAAUUUUUAAAGAAAUACUUCAUAAAUGAUUUUCCGUAAAACAAUUUAUGAAAAAACAGUCAUUAAAGAAACUAUGAGUAGAAACACUUUCAUACGACCCUCGGUGUUUUUCUAAAAAUUAUUAUAUCUGACUUUUUUAAAAUCGUUGUCUAAAAGUAUUAUAGCUGAAGAACAGUAAGGAAAAGAACAGAGCUGAAUUUGCAGAAAAGUUUUUUUUUUUUUCAUUUUCCUUUUCUAAGGAUCUUGGAAUCCUUUUCCUUGUAUGGACAGAACAUUAGAGGUAUAUAUAUGGUAGUGGGAAGUGAUUCUUCCCCAUAAAACAUUUUCUUUUCUAUUGAGUCAUGGGAUUCUAUCUUCAGCUUCAAGGGAUCAUAGUUUUUAACCUUCUGUUUGCUAUCAUCUGUUUGUGGUUGAUUAAGGGAAAGGGAACAGAAACAGAGGCAAAAGGGCACCAGAACCAUCACGGGCAUGGCCUUUAAUCGGACACCUUCAUCUUCUACGAACAGGCAAGCCCCAACAUCAAUCAUUUGGAGCCAUGGCAGAUAAGUAUGGACCAACCUUUUGCUUUCAUAUUGGCCUGCGCAAAACUUUGGUGGUUAGCAGCUGUGAAGUAGCAACAGAAUGUUUAACUACCAUGGACAAAGCAUUUUCCAUUCGACCAGAUCCUUGGCAGGAAAGCUCAUGGGCUAUGACCAUGCCAUGUUUGGCUUCUCUCCUUACGGGCCAUACUGGCGUGAUGUAAGGAAGCUGGCCUCAGUUGAGCUCCUCUCAAACCGCCAGCUUGAGUUACUCAACCAUGUCCGGGACUCAGAAGUUAAGCUUUUCAUCAUAGAGCUCUACGGGCAAUGGAUACAAAAUGGGGACAGGCCUCUCUUGGUCGAGAUGAAGGAGAAGUGUUGGCACCUGGCAGCAAAUGUAAUGGUGAGCGCAGUAGCUGGGAAAUUUUGGCACCGUUACAAAUGACUAUGAGUCAAGACGGUGCCGGAAGGCCCUUGGCGAUUUGUUAUAUCUCUCGGGGGUAUUUAUGGUUUCUGAUGCAAUCCCCUUCCUUGGCUGGUUGGACACUGUGAGAGGAUAUACGGCAAAAAUGAAGAGAACAGCUAGGGAGGUGGAUCAGGUGCAGGGAAGCUGGGUGGAGGAGCAUCGCCGGAAGAGGUUCUCUGGAAGCAUGAACGAGGCUGAGCAAGACUUCAACCAUGUCAUGCUGUCUGUUAUUGAGGAUGGUCAGUUCUCUGAUCAUGACCAUGACACUGUCAUUAACGCUACUUGCUUGGUAUGUUUCUUCUUCUUUCCUUGGUCAAAUUCCAUAAACCUCCACACACUUAACAGCAAACCUCCAUCAUGAUUGGUUUUGUCCAGCUGUUACACUUGCUAUUUCAGGACUGAUGAUUAACUCUCAACUUUCUUUGACAAAAUUUCUGGGAAUAAUGAAAACUAUGAUAAACUUUUAAAUUGUUCUACUAACAGCCAGACAUACUGUUUUUUAACACACACUGAUCAAAGAAGCCAUAUCACCAGCUCAAAAGACCAACAUGGAUGUAAUGUUGAUGCAGACUCUAAUAAUAGGCGGCUCUGAUUCAACGGUGAUCACACUGACCUGGGCCCUCUGUCCGCUAAUGAACAAUCCCAGCACUCUAAAAAGAGCACAAGAUGAGUUAGACAUCAAAGUGGGAAAGCAUCGCCAAGUGGAUGAGUCAGACAUAAAGAACCUAGUCUACUUGCAAGCCAUCAUCAAGGAAACCUUACGACUGUACCCUGCUGCACCGCUUUCAGUGCCACGUGAGGCCAUGGAGGAUUGCACCAUGGCAGGCUUCCACAUCCAAGCUGGGACGCGCCUUUUGGUUAACCUCUGGAAGUUGUACAAGAACCCCAGAAUUUGGUCGGAUCCUUUGGAGUUCCAACCUGAGAGGUUCCUAACGAAGCAUGUGGAUUUGGAUGUUAGGGGUCAAAAUUUUGAAUUUCUGCCAUUUGGGUCAGGCAGAAGGGUAUGCCCAGGAAUCUCAUUUGCGCUUGAGGUCGUGCAUCCGACUUAUUUAAGAUCAUACAUCAGUUGAUUAUGAUCAUCUUCAUCGAUCAAAUAGAGUUCAUAUGUUGAUGCUUGUGUUGUUAUUUGAUUUGAUAAUUUUUCUUGCUUCUGCUUCAAAGUUUCUUGUUUGUGUUGAGCCUAGCUCAUAUUUUUAAGUCAACUCAGCGUAAGGGAAAAACACAAAUGGGAUUUGUGUUUUUUUUUUUUUCCACCAGCAGAAUGGUCUUAUUUGGAAGCUUGUACAAGCAUAGCUUUUUUAUAUAACUAUGGGGCUAGCCACACUCCACAUGAUUUAAAAUGUACAAAUAGGCAUAAUAACAACUGGCCAAAGAGAUGGUUUUUUUCAUACUCAGAACUAUCUUAUAUUAGACUUCAAAGGUGCUUCAUAUUUUCUAUCAUGCAUUGAGAGCCGUCUAUGGUUUUCAUAUUAGGAUGGCACAUGUGUGGAACAUGAAUUCCUACUUGUGAGUGUUCUAGUGUAUGUAGUUUUGAGCCAUUUUGGAGAAGUGAUUCUUUCCCCUGAUCCAUUCUCUCUGGUACUAACUAGUCAUGGGAUUCUCCCUUCAGCCUCAAGAGAUCACAGUUUUUGGGCUUCUUGCUACAAUCUGUCUGUUGUUGGAAACAGCACUUAAUGCCAAAAGGAACAAGAUCAAGGAAGGCAAAAGGCCACCAGAGCCGUCCUGACAAUGGCCUCUUAUCGGUCAUCUCCAUCUUCUAGGAGCAGACAAGCUGCUACAUCGGAAACUUGGAGACAUGGCUGACAAGUAUGGACCAAUCUUUUGCAUUCAUCUUGGCUUUCGUAAAGCUCUGGUGGCUAGUAGAUGGGAAGUAGCAAAGGAAUGCUACACUACCAAUGACAAGGUAUUCGCCACUCAACCAAUGGCUGACAGUUCUUUUUUUUUUUUCUUUUUUUUUUUUUUUUGAAAUUUAAACAGUAAGCUUUGAUGAUCUGAAAGUUUUUUUCUUCUUCAAAUUGGAAUUAUGUAUUUUUACAUUGCAGUCAUAUCUGAUACUCGUAAAGUGCAUCUUCUUCAUUUUCUUCUUGUUUGUUGUUUGAUUACACUUUAAUCUUCAUAGAAAUUGACAUUUUCUCCCCCAUCAACUCUAGAGCUAAUCAGGAAGGUAGAACAGUUCUUGGUUUGCAGACCUCAGAAAAUCAAUUAGCUAAACAAAAACAUAGAGAAGAAAAAGAGGAGCUAAAUUUGUUGAUGUUGUGACAAACUCUCCCACCUUUUAUUUAGCGAGAAGCUAUGAGAAGUGAUACUGAAUCAAGUUUACAUUGCUGGUUUGUCGUGUGGCUGUGCACGAGAUUACUAGUCAUCGUCCUCCAUGCAGAUGAGGUGUGCAUGAGAGAAUGCUCUAAUUAAUAUCUUCCUUCAUCAGGCGAUUGCGCGUGCAUGUUGGGGCUCUUUGCUUACAUAUGGUUCCUUUUUAUGCCUGGAACUGGUACUUUUAGUCCACUGAACCUGUGUUAGCACCAGAAAUAACAACAUGAAGAUACCUAUCAAGAAAAAUAUAAGUGACCAAGAGAGUAGACCGGCUUCCUAAGGAUUCCUCGUAGGUCUGGCAUACUUAUAUUAGACUUUCAGAGAUAAAUAAGUAAAGAGAACUUGAAACACUAAGUAACAUUGAUCAAAUCAUAUUGGAGAUGAGCUUGUAAGUCUAUGUAUUGUGUGGUAGGUAAAGAGGAGGCACAACUUGGGCUGAAAGCACCUGAACUGAACUUUCCACUAACUCAUUUUCUCUUGAGCGGCUAAAAAUUGGAUCAUCAAGAGACUGCCCUACCUCAAAACCUGACCUCAACCAGUAUUAAAAUACGUGAUAUUUUGACAAUAUAUCGUUAAAAUAUCGUGUAUAGGUGGAUCUCGACACGAAAUAUAGGAAAGAAAUAUUGGCACCUCGAUAUUUCGACAAUUUAUUGAAAAUUUCACCGAUUUUUCACAAUUUAUCGGUAAUUUAUUGAUUUUUCACCAAUAUUUUGACUAGUCAAUAUUUUUCACAAUUUAUCGAUAAUUUAUUGAUUUUUCACCAAUAUUUUGACAGGUCAAACUUCAAAAAAAUUCAAAAUUUCUACUGGUGCUGAAGGGAAUCCAACCCUAGCCAAAUGUUCACCAACCACGGAGACAAGUUUGCCCAUUGUUAUAUGUUUAGUACUAAAUAUAUAUAUACUAAAACUUAUUAUAUAAACAUAAUAUUUAAAGAAUGUUUUAAAGAAUAAAUUAAUUAUAAUUAUUUCAUAAUUAAAUGAAAAAAAAUUAAUUAAUUACCAAAAAUAUAAGAUUUAUCUUGAUAAUUUUCUUCCAUUAAUAUAUUAAUUAAAUAUUAAAAAUCAUAUAUAUAUAUCAUUAUUUAUUUUAUAUUAUUUAAUUUAUAUUAUUUAAUACAAUUGAAUAAAAUGGAUUAUAAAUUUGAUUUUAAUAUUAAAUAUAUUUUUUAAUAAUCAAAUAUCAUAAUAUUACCUCCAAUAAUAUUUAAUAAUAAAUGUACACUUAUAAAAGGGAGAAUUGUGUUUUGGGCCCAGCUAGGCCCAAAAAUUAACAUUUGGUCCUCCAACCACCCAUAUUUAAACCCAAGACCCAAACAAAGUAUGAAAAUUAAGAUGAAGGAUAUUGUCUUUCAUUAAUUCCUAAAAUACCCUUAUCCCUUAUAUGCCUACAAGUGAGUGUGAAUUUUAAUUUUUUUUGUUUUUUGUUUUCCUUUUCUAUUCCCUAUUAAAUAUUACUCAUUUCUAACUUUUUUUUUCCUUUUUAUUCCAAUAUAUAUUUCUAUUUUAUGUCAAAUAAAAAACAAUAAUAUUUUUUUAUUUUUCAUUUUUAAAGAUAUUGAAUCUUUUUGCUCUUAUUAAAAGCAAUGAUAAAAAUUUUGGGAUUUUUCAUCCAAAUAUUUUUUAUCUUUAUGUAUUUAUCUUUUACUUUAAUUUUCAUUUUUUAUUUUAAAUUUAUAUUACCCUUUCAUCUAUAUUUUUCUCUUAUUUUUUAUAUUUUCUACAUUAACCAUAUUUUAAAAAAUUUUAAAAUUAACUAUCACUUCACUUUAUUAUAUAUAUAUAUCUUUUUAGCUUUUUAAUUUUUAAUGUUUUUAUUUUAAAAUUUUUAAAAAGAUAAAUUUGUUGAAAAAAAAUAACUAAGAUAUGAAAUUCUAAUAUUAUAUUAAUAAUUUUUUCUUAUCUAGAUAGACUAAUGCAAAGUAUUUUGACCCCCAACAAGGAAAUUGUCAAUACAAUUUUUUAGUUAAACUUUAAAAAUUAAGUUUCAAAUAAAAUAUAUUAUAUAAAAUUUUAUCUAAAAAUUAUUGAAAGUGGUAUUUAAUUUUUUUAUUUAUUGACUUUGAAACUUAUCUAGUUUUUUACUUGAAAGGUAAUAGAACAUGUUUAUAAAAAAAAUUAGUUUUUCAUUUUUUAAAUAAAUGAGUAUAAAUAUAUUAAAAAAAAUUAAAGAUAAUCUUAGUAAAAAAUUUGAUAAAUAUGAUUAUAAUUUUAAAUAUAGAUUCAUGUGGAUAAAAUUUCACAAAAAAAAAAAAAAAUAGUGAAAAGAAAGAACAUUGUUAAAACUACAAAAACAAAAUAUGCAAUUACAAAAAUUUGAUGAUGAAAUUUAAAAAUAAAAUUCGAAACAAUUCUUGAGUGAGAGAAUUUGAGUGGGGAAAAAAUAUUUGAGUGGAAAAAAAUGGGAAAGUUUUUCGAAAUCACUUUAAAUCUUUAACAAAAAGUAGUCUUGUACACCCUUGUACAAUUAGUAAAUUUGUCUUGUACAGUUAGUAUAAUACCCUUGUACAGUUAGUGUAAUACCCUUGUACAAUAACUCAAAUUUCAUACAUCAUUUUAUGAAUAUCUAACAAUAGGUCGGUUAACCAUGUUUGCAUCGGUUUGGUUUUAAAAAAGAAAAAAAAUUGUUGUAUAAUUUUGUUUUACAAUCAUCAUAAGUGAGGUACCUAUUAAAAUGACCAUAUACAAAUUAGAUAAAAUACAUGAGAUGAAUGUAUGUUUAACCAAUGUGUGUAAGAAAUGUCAUUUAUCAUUGGUUAAGGGAAAUAAACAAACAAGUUUUUUAGAAUCACUUAAAAUCUUUCACAAAUAAUAGUUUUGUACACCCUUGUACAAUUAGUAUAUUUGUCAUGUACACUUAGUGUAAAUACCUUGUACAGUGACUAAAAAAACGUUAUUUUAUUUUAUUUUCAAUGCAAAAUGUAAUUAAAAAUAAGACAAAGAAAUUACUUAAAAACUAUUAUUUAAGCCAAAUUUAUUUAUUUAUUUCCUUUUAUUUUUGGAAAUAAAGAAAAAAGAAUAAAAAAUUUAUUUAACCAUAAGAAAUAUGAAUAUAAGAUCAGUUGGAAAAUUCUAAAUUUAUUUAUUUAUUUCAUUUUAUUUUUGGAAUUAAAGAAAUAAAAAAUAAAAAAUUUAUUUAAUCAUAAAAAAUAUUGAUAUAAGAUAUAUUAAAAAAUAGAAAUAACCCCAAAUUUAUUUACUUAUUUCAUUUUAUUUAUUAAAUUAGAAAUUAAUUUAUUUUAAUAGAUUAAAAUGUGCACAAUUGAUUUAUUACUUUGUUAAUUAUGGAUAUAUUAAAAUUUUUGAUAAAAAAUAAAUAAAGAAAAUAAAAUUAAAAAGAGUAAUAAAUAUAUAUAAUUUAGUUAUUAAAUUAUUUUUCAUGUAAAAGAUAGUCCCACAAAAAACACAUAAUUGAUCAAUUUCUUUGUUUAAUCGUAAACAUACUAUAUUUUUUUUUAUUAUUAAAAUAACUAAUGAAAAAAAAAUAAAAAUGGAUAAUCAAUGAAUGAAAUUUAGUUCUUUUUAUUAUUUUCAUAUAAAAAAUAGUACUAAGGUUUUCAAUUUUUAUUUUUUAAAAUAGUUUUCAUUUUUUAAAUAAAUGUUUUUUCAAAAAGAAAAUAUAAAAAAUAUAAAUCAUAUUACUAUUUUUUAGAAAGUAUUUUUUAAAAUAGCUUUCGAACAUAAUUUUUCUUUAUUUAUAAUUUAAAAUAGAAAAUAAUGUUGAUUUUCAAUUAUUUAUAAAAAAAAAAUUAAAAUAAUGAAAAAUCCAAAUUGUUAAAAUAUAAUUAUUAUGGUUGCAUGAAUAAUGGUGCAAUAAAGACAAAAAAAAAAAAAAAAAAGUUUAUGUGAAAGGUCAUGGGGUAUUUUAGUCCAUCACUAUUUUAUGUCCUUAAAAGGUAAUAUAUAAAAAUUUGAAGGAUAUAUUGGUCUUUUAACAUCUCAUAUCCUUUUCAUCAAUUAUGGAAGUUAUAUGGACCAAAUGUUAAUUUUUAGGCCCAACUGGGCCCAAAACACAAUUCUCCCCUUAUAAAAUACAUAUUUGUUUAUUCUUGCAUAUAAUAUUAUUAUCAAAUAUGAUAAAUUAUAUCACAUAUGUAUUUUUAUUUUUUAACAAAAUAUCUAUUAUACUUUUAAUUUUAUUUUUAAAUUUUUUUCUAUAUAUUUAUAAGUUUUAAUCAAUUUUAGAUUUAUCAAUAUUUUAUAUUAAAAUAUGGAGAUAUAUCAUAAAAUGAAGGGUUGUUCCAUGGUACCCACUUUUCAUUUUGGGGGUACCUACCCACAUUUGACCCCAAUAAAAAGAUGACAUGUGUUAAGUAUAUAUCAUUAAAAAAUUUAUAAAAACUUAUCAAACUGGUAAAGAUGACUUGUUGGUGAAAAAUAAUCACAUGCAUUUCAUAUAUAUCCAAAUAUUACAACUUUUUUAUAAUUUAUUAUUAAAUAUCAAAUAUAAUUUGUUAUUUAAUGCAUUACCUAACUCUAUCUAAAAAAAGAAAAUCCUACCAACUACUCUUAUACUCUCAUUAUUCAUAUAUAAAAAAAGGGAUAUUAAUUUAAUAUGAAAAUGAAAUAAUUUCAACUACCAAAUUACAAAAUAUGUAAGAUGUAUUUUGAUGAAUCAAAUUUCAAGAUCAAGUUUAAAACUUUUUGAGAGAGAAAAUCUAAAUUUUGUAUUAUAUGAAGAAGAUGAAGGAUUUUAAGUGAUUACAAGUGUCAAAGGUAAUAUUUGAUAUUUUUUUAUCCAAAUAUAAUUAUUGUAGGAAGAAAUGUGAUGUUAAAUAACGAUUUUAGAAUUUUUUAUAAGUUUAUUAUAAAAUUUUGUUAUCAAAUUGUUAUUAAUAUUUUUAUAUAUAUAUAUAUAUAUAUAUAUAUUUUUUUUGUUCAUAGAUUAAAUUUGAAUAUGAAGUUUUAUAUGUCUUGAAGGAUGUCAAGUGAUUACAAGUGUUAAAAGGUAACAUUUGAUUUUUUUUUUUCCCAUUUACAUAUAACUAUUGUAGGUAGAAAUGUCAUGUUAAAUGACAUUUAAAUAUGUAAUGAUUUAUAACAUCUAGAUUUUUUAAUUUUUUUUCUCAGUUAUUAUUAAUCAAAUUGAGAGCAUUUAGUCAUUUGUUAUGAAAUUGUCAUCAAUAUUUUGUAAGAGAUGGUACGAACUUUCUAAGAGAAUGUACGAACAUUGUAAGAGAUGAUACGAACUUUCUAAGAGAUAGUACGAACUUUCUAAGAGAUGGUACAAAUUUUCUAAGAAAUGGUACGAACUUUGUAAGAGAUGUACGAACUUUCUAAGAGAUGGUACGAACUUUCUAAGAGAGGGUACGAACUUUCUAAAAAAGGGUACGAACUUUCUAAGAGAUGAUACGAAUUUUCUAAGAUAUGGUACGAACUUUCUAAGACAGGAUACGAACUUUCUAAGACAGGGUACGAACUUUCUAAGAGAUGAUACGAACUUUCUAAGACAUGGUACGAACUUUGUAAGAGAUGGUACAAACUUUGUAAGAGAGGGUAUGAACUUUGUAAGAGAGGGUACGAACUUUUUAAGAGAGUGUACGAACUUUAUGAGAGAUGGUACGAACUUUGUGAGAUGAGGUACGAACUUCCAUCAUUUCUUUAAGAUUAAUUUUUUUAAUUUCUUUUAAGAGUAAUUUCCAUCAUUUUUAAGCUUAAUUAGUAUCAAUAAAUAAUAUUAUUGUAUUUCCAUGUGGAAAAAAUUUUAAAAAGUUUGAAAAUUUGUAAAAUUUUCGAGGGUAAAGAGAAUGUGACGAAGGGUGCUAAGAAUGUAAGGAUUCCUUACAUUUUUUGUACCAUUCCUCACAUUAUUCGUACAUUCUAUAAUUACUUAGUGUUUUAAUUUUUUUAUUUUCUUAAAAAUAAUAUUCACCAUUUCUAAGCUUGAUUAGUAUCAAUAAACAAUAUUAUUUGUAUUUUUAAGUGGAAAAAAAAAAUCAAAAAAUUGUUAAAUUUCAGGAUAUGGAGAAUGUGAGGUAAGGUAUGAAGAAUGUGAGGAUUUCUCAUAAUCUUCAUACAUUUUCUCACAUUUUUCAUAUCCUCUCUAAUUUUUUAGUGUUUUAAUUUUCUAAUUUUUUAGGAUAAUUUACAUUAUUUCCAAUUUUAAAUUUUUUUAAUUCUUUUUUUUUUUUUAACAAUUCUAUCAAUAAUAACUCAAAAUAAUAUUAUUAAACUAUGUUAUUGUUAUUUCAAGUUAAAAAGUAAAUUUUAAAUUUUAAAAAUAUAAAUAAUUUAGGGUACGAAAAAUAUGAGAACAGUAUGAAAAAUGUGAUAAAUACAUGAUUGGUACCUUUAUCACAUUUUUCAUAUUGAUUUUUAGUUUAAAAUUUUUUUAAAUUACAAAUUUAUUUUCGAAAAUACUAUCAUUAGUAACUUAAAAGAGUAUUAGUAAUUUAUUUUAUUGUAAUUUAACUUUAAAAACCUUAAAUUCAAAAAAUGUAAAAUUUGGAGAGUACGGAAAAAAAUUAGGACAAUCUAAUUACAUAAGUUUUACAUAUGAUUAUCAAAAUGUUGAAUUUUUAUGAAAAUACUCAUUUCAUAUUAAAAUAUUAUCAUGUUAAUUUUUAUGUUGAAUUUAAAUGUUUAAUAAUUUGUUAAAAAUAAAAUAAUGUGAUUAUGAUAUAUGAUGAUUUUUUUUUGUUAAUAAAUAUGUUUUCAAAUUUUAUAUCAUUUUUAUUUUUAUUUUUUUCUAAUUCUAUUUUUAUCUAAUAUUUAUUUUAUUUAAAUCCAAAAUUGUUAAGAAUGGAGGAAGAAAGAAUGUCAUAACCGAUUCUUCCCUUAAUUAGUUAAGUGAAAUUUUUAUUUCAAAUUUAAAGUGGAUGAUCAAGAUAUAAUCUUUGACAUUCAAUGACUUAAAAAACUUUUUUUUCGUAAGUACGAAGAGGUAACUUAGAAUUUUCCUAAAAUGAAUUAUCAAUAUAUAUGUGAGCAUGGAUACUUUCAUCCUUAUCCUCGAUCAGCACUUCCCAGAUAAGGUAGCUCAGUGCGAAUCUACCUCGAGAUCGGGCAAAAAAGGUGCCUCGGUGCGAAUCUUCCUUGAGAUCGGGCAACAUGGGAAACGUGGCCUCCAAAAGGAAACGUGGGCAAAAUGCGAAUCUACCAACCCCUGGGCCAUGGCACUUGCGGAAAAAGCUGUCAGCCCGUGACUACGCUUGUCAGCAACGUCAACGACAAAAUGAAAAGUCAAAAGGGAAAUGACCUUAAAAAAGGAAAGGAGGAGGAUGGUAAUCCUUCAUUGACAAGCAAAGGAAACGGAGAAGAACUAGAUUUUUGUAUCUCCAUCUUCUAAUGGGAUUCUCUCUUCAGCUUCAAGAUGUCACAGUUUUCGGCAUUCUUUUUGCAAUUAUCUGUCUGUGGUUGGUUAAUGCCAAAGGUAACAAGAACAAAGGCAGAAGCCCACCAGAGCCCUCCGGGGCAUGGCCUGUAAUGGGUCACCUUCAUCUUCUAGGAGCAGAUAAGCCACUACAUAGGACAUUCGGAGCCAUGGCUGAUGAGUAUGGACCAAUCUUCUCCAUUCGUGUUGGCCUUCGAACAGCUCUGGUGGUUAGUAGCUCGGAAGUAGCAAAAGAAUGUUACACUACCAAGGACAAGGCACUCGCCACUCGACCAAGAUCCUUAGCAGUAAAGCUCAUGGGCUAUGACCAUGCCAUGUUUGCGUUUGAACGUCACGGUCCAUACUGGCGUGAUGUGCGGAGGCUAGCCAUGGUUAAUCUCCUCUCCAACCGCCAGCACGAGAUGCUCAAGCAUGUCCGGGACUCAGAAGUCAAGUUUUUCAUCCAAGAGCUCUAUGGGCAAUGGGUAGAAAAUGGAGGCAGUCCUGUUUUGGUGGACAUGAAGAAAAAGUUUGAGCACCUGGUAGCAAAUUUGACGAUGAGAACAGUUGCUGGGAAACGGUGUGAAAAUGGCGAGUCAAGAUGGUGCCAAUCCCUAGGUGAUUUCAUGAAUCUAAUGGGGCAAUUUAUGGUUUCUGAUGCACUACCCUUCCUUGGAUGGUUAGACACAGUGAGGGGAUAUACAGCGAAAAUGAAGGGAACAGCUAGGCAGUUGGAUCGGGUUAUUGGAAGAUGGGUGGAGGAGCAUCGUCAGAAGAGGCUUUCCGGAAGCAUCAAUGACGCUGAGCAAGACUUCAUUCAUGCCAUGCUGUCUGUUAUAGAUGAUGCUCAGUUAUCUGGUCAUGACCAUGACCAUGAUACUGUCAUCAAAGCCACUUGCUUGGUAUGUUUCUACUACUUCAUAACACCACCAUCCUCAUGAGCAUCUGCAACUUCAUCAAGACCUUGAUAAUACUCGUAUUACUCCGUCAUGAUCUAUUUUUUCCUUCUGCUAUACAGUAUUUCAGGACUAUUGAAGUAACUCUGUUUCUUUCUUUGACAAAAAUUGCCGAGACCAUUCCGUAAGGUUAUGUUUGGUUCUCAGAAAAUUUGAGGGAAAAUACAAGGGAAAGAAAAUACAAAAGAAAAAUAGAAGGAAAGAAAAAGUGAAAGAAAAUAAAAAAUGGAUUAAAAAUUGAUAAGUUAUUUUUAUUUUUUACUUCAAACUCAUUUUAUUUAUUUUAACUCAUCAAUAUAAAGAUUAAAUAAUUUUAAAAUACAUAAGUUUUUAAUUAGUUUUAAUUAUAUUUGAUUUUCUUUUAUAUUUUUUAUAGGACAACCAAACAUGAAAAAAUCAUUUUCCUUUGCAUUUUUUUUCUUUCUUUAGUAUUUUCCGGAACCAAACAUAACCUAAGGAAACAGCAGACAGAAUUCAUAAAUUAGGCUGGAAUAACAGGAACUGGGAUAAUUUUUUUUUUACCCGGAUUCCCCAGUCAUAAUUCUUCUGCCGCUAGACAUACUAUUUCACAAAUGAUGUAUGGACUUUUUUCUUUAAUCACAAGUUCAACAUGGGCGUAAUAUGUUGAUGCAGACUGUCAUGUUGGCGGGCAAUGAUACAAUAGCGGUCACACUCACCUGGGCCCUCUCUCUGCUAAUGAACAACCCUCGUGCACUAAAAAAGGCACAAGAAGAGUUGGACUUUCAUGUGGGAAGGAAUCAGCAAGUGUACGAAUCAGAUAUAAAGAAGCUAGUCUACUUGCAAGCCAUUAUCAAGGAGACCUUACGACUAUACCCUGCUGGGCCGCUUGCACUGCCACAUGAGGCCAUGGAGGACUGCACUAUUGCAGGCUUCCACAUCCAAGCUGGGACUCGCCUUCUGGUUAACCUCUGGAAGUUACACCGCGAUCCCACAAUUUGGUCGGAUCCUUUGGAGUUCCAACCUGAGAGGUUCCUGACAAAGCAUGUGGGUUUGGACGUUGGGGGUCAACAUUUUGAACUUCUACCAUUUGGGUCAGGCAGAAGGAUGUGCCCAGGAAUCUCACUUGCUCUGGAGAUCCUGCAGCUGACACUAGCCAGAUUGCUUCAUGGUUUUGAAUUGGGAGUAGUUUCAGAUUCACCCCUGGAUAUGACUGAAGGUGUUGGGCUCGCUAUGCCUAAAGCAACUCCACUGGAGGUCACCCUAGUCCCAAGGCUACCCUCCGAGCUCUACCACUAAAGUAGUAUCCUUAUGUGUGCCACAAAAUCCCCUGGUUAGCCCUGGAAGGGUCUACUCCAAAGGUUUGGUCUUCAUAGGACAUAAGGAGCAACCUUCUGAGCUCUCCUGCUACAGAAGUAGCAGAAAAAAUAAUAAACAAUGAGUGCCACAAAAUCCCCUAAUUAGUCCAUGAAGAUGAUGAAUAAAUUAUGCUCAUUUUAUGUAUAUUUAUGUAGCUCACUCCGAAUGCAUAUCCACCUAAAUGAACCUCGAUGAAGAGCCUCACAUCUUGGGAUGUUACAUCACUUGCCGUCCUUGCAUAUCUACUCAAGCUUUCUUAAUCAGGAUACUUUCUAGGUACCUUGUGUUUGUAAUUUAACUGGAACAUGUUAAAAUUAGGAGUCUUGGGUCUAUUUUGGGAAGGUUUUUAAAAAUAAUUCUUAAAAAUAUAUAUACAUUUUUAAACUAUUUUCAAAAAUUGUUUUAUCAUAUUUUCUAAAAUAAAAAUAUGUUUGAAAUUUUAGAAAGUUUUUAACAUGUUUUUUUCUUUUUUAAUUUUCAAAUUUUUUUUAAAAAAUGACCUUCUAUCUCCAAUGCUUUAUUUUCAACCAUUUCUAAAAAUUAAUUAAAUACGUUUUUUAUGUUUUUUUUAUUCUCAAAAAUAAAAAUAAUUAUUCUUAAUAACAAUUUGUAAACAUAACUUAAGCUUUUUUUAAAAAAAUAAAAAUAAAAAUGUUGAAUUUAAAGUGUUCAAGAAUAACAGGUGAGUGAAUGGAAUGAGUGUGGCCUUUAAAGCUCAUCAUUUGUAACAUGAUUUAAGAACUUGUUUGAUAGAGGUUUUAAAAAGCGUUUAUAAUCUUUUUAGAACUUAAAAAUAUUUCUUUUGAGAAAAAUUUUUAAAUAUUAAAAAGAUUAAAAAUACAUUCUAAAAUUACUAUCAAACGAAUUUUAAAAAUGUGUUUGUCAAUGUUUUUACCAAACAUGAUUUUUGUGAAAGUAUUUUUUCUAAUAGUUUUUUUCAUAUAAUCAUUUAUUAAGAGUUAUUUUGAUAGUGAUCCUAGAAAGUGUUUUUACUAUAAAAAGGAGUUUAAAAAAAAACAUUGAAUGUUUAACCGAAUUUAAGAAAUACUAUUCAAAAUUCUAAAAAUGCAUCAACAUGAUUUUUGUGAAAGUAUUUUCUCUAAUAGUUUUUUUCAGAGAAUCAUUUAUUAAAAGUUAUCUUGACAAUGAUUCUAAUAAGUAUUUUUAUCCUAAAAAGAUUUUUUUUUUUUAAAUAUUGAAUGUUUAACAGAAUUUAGAAAAUACUAUUCAAAUUUUGAAAAAUCAUUUUUUAGAAAACACUUGAGAUGAUUUUUCGAAAAAUAAUAUUUUAUGAGAAAACAUUGUUAUUAAAGAAACUUUGAAUAUAAAUACUUUCAAGUCCACUCUCACUAUUGUUUUAAGAGUGUGUUUGUAGAAAGUAUUUUUAAUAUCUUUAAUACUUGAAAGAUAAAAAAUUUUAAAUGUUAAAAAUAUUAAAAAUACUUUUUAAAAUCACUAUAAACGUGUAAGAAGAAUUAUAAGUGAUUUUUUAACUUUUUUUAUAACCCUUGUCUAAAUUUUAUCUAGUUUUAUUUUUUUUUUGGUCAAAAAUAUUUUUUUAAGCUAGAAUAAGAAGUAAACUUUAAAGAAUCCUUACCCAGCCGUUAACGUUUUAAACACCGUAGUUACUAGGCCCUACUCUCAUGCUAUUGUUUAUAUAAACAUGAACACUUUUGUUACUUAGUGCUGGAACGCAUUAGAACUAUAGACAAAACAGAAGAUUCCUUGGUUUUAUUUAGGCACCAAACCCACUCAUUCACUCAUUCAAGCAUAUUUAAAUUUAAAUGCAGCCGUCCAUGAAUAAACAACAGACCCAUUACCAAGAAGGUGAUCAUCCUUUUUCAGGGUUGGUUCUUCAAAAUUCAAAAUCAGUUAGCUGAAGAACAGAAAGGAAAAGAACAGAGCUGAAUUUACAGAAAAGUAAUUUUUUUUUCCUUUUCCUUUUCUAAGGAUCUUGGAAUCCUUUUCCUGGUAUAGGCAGAACAUUAGAGAUAUAUAUAUGGUAGUGGGAAGUAAUUCUUCCCCCUAAAACAUUUUCUUUUCUAUUGAGUCAUGGCUUCAGCUUCGAGGGAUCAUCGUUUUUGGCCUUCUGUUUGUGGUUGAUAAAAGCUGAAGGGAACAAGAACAAAGGCAAAAGGGCACCAGAACCAUCCAGGGCAUGACCUUUAAUCGGACACCUUCAUCUUCUAUGAGCAGGCAAGCCCCAACAUCAAUCAUUUGGAGCCAUGGCAGAUAAGUAUGGACCAAUCUUUUGCUUUCAUAUUGGCCUGCGCAAAACUUUUUUGGUUAGCAGCUGGGACGCAGCAAAAGAAUGUUUCACUACCAUGGACAAAGCAUUUGACACUCGACCCAGAUCCUUGGCAGGAAAGCUCAUGGGCUAUGACCAUGCCAUGUUUGGCUUCUCUCCUUACGGGCCAUACUGGCGUGAGGUAAGGAAGCUGGCCUCGGUUGAGCUCCUCUUAAACCGCCAGCUUGAGUUACUCAACCAUGUCCGGGACUCAGAAGUCAAGCUUUUCAUCAAAGAGCUCUACGGGCAAUGGAUACAAAAUGGGGACAGGCCUGUCUUGGUCGAGAUGAAGGAGAAGUGUUGGUUCCUGGCAGCAAAUGUAAUGGUGAGCGAAGUAGCUGGGAAACGGUAUUUUGGCACCGUUACAAAUUGAAGAAUUUGAAGAAAAAUAUGAAGGAAUUUGAAGACAAAAUAUGGAGGAACACCUCAAUUCAUUCUGUGAUUCCUUCCUUUACAAUGAAUGAAAGCAUAAAUAAAUAGCCUACGGAUAUGAGACAAUUCCGGAAUGGAAUUUCCCUUACAUGGAAAGUGAAUAAACUCUUACAUGGGAAUUAAAUAAACUACUCUUACAUGGAAAGUAAAUAAACUACUCUUACAUGGAAAGUGAAUAAACUACUCUUACAUGGAAAGUGAAUAAACUACCUUGCUAGAAUUAUUCCUAAAUCAAUUAUAAUAAAGGCUGUACAUUACACUAAUUAGGGAAGUAAACAGAGGAUGCUGGCUUGAUUUCCAACACUCCCCCUCAAGCCGCGUUGUAGAUGUUGAUCAUUCCAAGUUUUUCUGUCAGAUCUUCGAAGUUAACUCGAGCAAGAGCUUUUGUAAGAAUGUCAGCCGUUUGACAGUUUGUCGGAGUGUAGCUGACUUUGAAAACUCCUUCUUCAAUCUUUUCCUUGAUAAAGUGUCGAUCUAUCUCCACGUGCUUAGUUCGAUCAUGAUGAACCGGAUUCUUAGCGAUACUGAUGGCAGCUUGAUUGUCGCAGUAUAAUACCAUGGGAUGCUUCAAUGGAACCCGUAAUUCUUCUAACAGCCUGUUCAACCAGAUUCCCUCGCAGAUACCUUGUGCCAUAGCACGAAAUUCUGCCUCAACACUGCUACGGGCUACCACUGACUGUUUCUUGCUUCGCCAUGUAACCAAGUUCCCCCAGACAAAUGAACAAUAGCCUGAAGUUGAUCUCCGAUCAGUCACUGAACCUGCCCAAUCUGCAUCUGAAAAAAUUUCAAUCUCUUUCUUUGUUGUUCUUUGAAAGAAGAGGCCCUUUCCCGGUGUCAUCUUGAGGUAUCUCAAUAUUCUGAUCACAGCAGUCAUGUGUUUUUCGAUUGGAUUAUUCAUGAAUUGACUUACCACACUAACGGAGAAGCCGAUGUCUGGCCUUGUAUGAGAAAGAUAGAUGAGUUUCCCCACAAGACGUUGAUAUCUUCCUUUAUCAAUUGGCGCACUUCCAUCACUUUCUUCCAGUUUGACAGUUGUAUCCAUAGGUGUUUCUGCCGGCUUGCAUCCUAGCAUUCCUAUUUCAUUCAAUAAGUCCAGAGCGUAUUUGCGUUGUGAGACUGCUAUACCUUUCUUUGACCUAGCAAUCUCCAUUCCGAGAAAGUACUUGAGGUUUCCAAGAUCCUUGAUCUCAAAUUCCUUUGUCAGUAAUUUUUUAAGUAAGUCAAUUUUCUCUUCAUGAUCACCUGUCAAAAUUAUGUCGUCCACAUAUACAAUGAUAAUUGCCAGUUUCCCUUCUGGGAAGUGUUUCACAAAUAAUGUGUGAUCGGAUUGACAUUGAACGAAUCCGUACCUUUUCACUACCUUAGUGAACCGUUCAAACCAGGCCCUGGGAGAUUGUUUGAGACCAUACAAGGAUUUUCGGAGUCUGCAAACCUUGUUGAAAUUUGAUGUCGUCUCAAGUCCAGCAGGAAUGUCCAUGUAAACUUCUUCCUCUAAGUCACCAUUGAGGAAUGCAUUCUUCACAUCAAGUUGGUGAAGCGACCAAUCGAGAUUAGCUGCCAAGGAUAAAAGUACACGAACAGUAUUGAGCUUGGCAACUGGAGCAAAAGUUUCUUGAUAGUCAAUGCCAUAGGAUUGGGUGAAUCCUUUGGCGACCAACCGAGCCUUAUACCUGUCCACAUUACCAUCUGCCUUGUACUUUACUGUGAAAAUCCACUUNNNNNNNNNNNNNNNNNNNNNNNNNNNNNNNNNNNNNNNNNNNNNNNNNNNNNNNNNNNNNNNNNNNNNNNNNNNNNNNNNNNNNNNNNNNNNNNNNNNNNNNNNNNNNNNNNNNNNNNNNNNNNNNNNNNNNNNNNNNNNNNNNNNNNNNNNNNNNNNNNNNNNNNNNNNNNNNNNNNNNNNNNNNNNNNNNNNNNNNNNNNNNNNNNNNNNNNNNNNNNNNNNNNNNNNNNNNNNNNNNNNNNNNNNNNNNNNNNNNNNNNNNNNNNNNNNNNNNNNNNNNNNNNNNNNNNNNNNNNNNNNNNNNNNNNNNNNNNNNNNNNNNNNNNNNNNNNNNNNNNNNNNNNNNNNNNNNNNNNNNNNNNNNNNNNNNNNNNNNNNNNNNNNNNNNNNNNNNNNNNNNNNNNNNNNNNNNNNNNNNNNNNNNNNNNNNNNNNNNNNNNNNNNNNNNNNNNNNNNNNNNNNNNNNNNNNNNNNNNNNNNNNNNNNNNNNNNNNNNNNNNNNNNNNNNNNNNNNNNNNNNNNNNNNNNNNNNNNNNNNNNNNNNNNNNNNNNNNNNNNNNNNNNNNNNNNNNNNNNNNNNNNNNNNNNNNNNNNNNNNNNNNNNNNNNNNNNNNNNNNNNNNNNNNNNNNNNNNNNNNNNNNNNNNNNNNNNNNNNNNNNNNNNNNNNNNNNNNNNNNNNNNNNNNNNNNNNNNNNNNNNNNNNNNNNNNNNNNNNNNNNNNNNNNNNNNNNNNNNNNNNNNNNNNNNNNNNNNNNNNNNNNNNNNNNNNNNNNNNNNNNNNNNNNNNNNNNNNNNNNNNNNNNNNNNNNNNNNNNNNNNNNNNNNNNNNNNNNNNNNNNNNNNNNNNNNNNNNNNNNNNNNNNNNNNNNNNNNNNNNUGUGGGGUAUCAACACAUGAACUUAAGUGAACUAUCCCUUCUUGUGCUAGAAAUUCUCCUAGAAUGGAGUUGAAAUAAUCCCUAGCAUUAUCAAACUUUAGAAUUUGUAUUUUUGACUGGAAUUGGGUUUGAAUCAUAUUUUUAAAAUUUUUGAAAAUUUGACUCGUUUCAGAUUUUUCUUUCAUGAGGAAUACCCAAGUUAAUCUAGUGUGAUCAUCUAUGAAUGAGACAAACCACCUAGUACCAGUUACAUUUUUUAUUCUUGACGGACCCCAGAUAUCGCUAUGAAUCAUUGAGAAUGGACUAGACUCUUUAUAGGGUUGAAUGGGAAAAUGAGACCGGACUUGCUUUGAUAAUUGACAGAUUUCACACUCAAAGGAUUGUGGAUUUUUAUUAAAUAAUGAAGGAAAUAAAUGCUUGAGAUACAUAACAUUUGGAUGACCUAAGCGAUAGUGCCACAACCUAAUUGCACUAUCGUUAUUUUGACAUGAAACCGAAAAAGAAUUACUACCAACUGUCAUUUGAGGUUGUUCUUGUGGAUCGUGGCGCUCCUUAAGGAUGUAGAGUCCAGAGCAUUCCUCAGCAUUGCCAAUCGUCUUCCCCGAAUCCAAAUCCUUUGUGAGCCAAGGUUCCGGAACCAAUGACCUGGUUGGAAGAUGAGCCAGUUUCCAUCUGAUGAGAGGAUGAAGACGAUGAGAUGAUGAUAUCAGAAGUAGAGGAUGAUGAGUUGGUAGCCAUUCCAAAGGCUGAACCUUAUUUGGGCAUAAAUUAGAAGAAUAGAAUUGAGUAAAAACUGACUAAAGAUGAAGACGAUGAGACAGGAUUAAACCUGCUCUGAUACCAUGAAGAAUUUGAAGAAAAAUAUGAAGGAAUUUGAAGACAAAAUAUGGAGGAACACCUCAAUUCAUUCUGUGAUUCCUUCCUUUACAAUGAAUGAAAGCAUAAAUAAAUAGCCUACGGAUAUGAGACAAUUCCGGAAUGGAAUUUCCCUUACAUGGAAAGUGAAUAAACUCUUACAUGGGAAUUAAAUAAACUACUCUUACAUGGAAAGUAAAUAAACUACUCUUACAUGGAAAGUGAAUAAACUACUCUUACAUGGAAAGUGAAUAAACUACCUUGCUAGAAUUAUUCCUAAAUCAAUUAUAAUAAAGGCUGUACAUUACACUAAUUAGGGAAGUAAACAGAGGAUGCUGGCUUGAUUUCCAACACAAAUGACUAUGAGUCAAGACGGUGCCGGAAGGCCCUUGAAGAUUUGUUAUAUCUGUCGGGGAUAUUUAUGGUUUCUGAUGCAAUUCCCUCCCUUGGCUGGUUGGACACUGUGAGAGGAUAUACGGCAAAAAUGAAGAGAAUAGCUAGGGAGGUGGAUCAGGUGCAGGGAAGCUGGGUGGAGGAGCAUCGCCGGAAGAGGUUCUCUGGAAGCAUGAACGAGGCUGUGCAAGACUUCAUCCAUGUCAUGCUGUCUGUUAUUGAUGAUGGUCAGUUCUCUGAUCAUGACCAUGACACUGUCAUUAAGGCUACUUGCUUGGUAUUUUUCUUCUACUUUCCUUGGUCAAAUUCCAUAAACCUCCACACACUUCUGUAUGGAAACAGCAAACCUCCAUCAUGAUUUGUUUUGUCCAGCUGUUAUACUUGCUAUUUCAGGACUGAUUAUUAACUCUCAACUUUCUUUGACAAAUUUUCUGGGAAUAAUGAAAACUAUUAUAAACUUUUAAAUUGUUCUACUAACAGCUAGACAUACUAUUUUUUAACACACACUGAUCAAAGAAGCCAUAUCACCAGCUCAAAAGACCAACAUGGAUGUAAUGUUGAUGCAGACUCUAAUAAUAGGCGGCUCUGAUUCAACGGUGAUCACACUGACCUGGGCCCUCUGUCCGCUAAUGAACAAUCCCAGCACUCUAAAAAGAGCACAAGAUGAGUUAGACAUCAAAGUGGGAAAGCAUCGCCAAGUGGAUGAGUCAGACAUAAAGAACCUAGUCUACUUGCAAGCCAUCAUCAAGGAAACCUUACGACUGUACCCUGCUGCACCGCUUUCAGUGCCACGUGAGGCCAUGGAGGAUUGCACCAUGGCAGACUUCCACAUCCAAGCUGGGCGCGCCUUUUGGUUAACCUCUGGAAGUUGCACAGGGACCCCAGAAUUUGGUCGGAUCCUUUGGAGUUCCAACCUGAGAGGUUUCUAACAAAGCAUGUGGAUUUGGAUGUUAGGGGUCGAAAUUUUGAAUUUCUGCCAUUUGGGUCAGGCAGAAGUGUUCAAAUUGAUAAAUGAUAGUUUUUUCAUUUAUAUUUUCAUUCGUUCAUGUACAGAGUAUAUAUAGAGGGUAUCGCCAUUCUAAGAAUGGGAAAGAAUGAUACAAGGAAAGAAUGACAUAAGGAAAUAACAAUUAAUAUCUUAAUAUCUCAACUUUCCUAAUAUCUCAAUAUUCCUAAUAUCUCAAUAUUCCUAAUAUCUCAACACUCCCCCUCAAGUUGGUGCAUAGAUGUCACACAUGCCCAACUUGUCUAAAAAUUUUGAGAACACUUGACUUGAGACAGCUUUGGUAAGGAUAUCAGCCAAUUGAUCUUCUGAUCGAAUCUUAGGCAAUUCCACAAUCUUAUCAUCCAACUUUUCCUUAAUGAAGAAUCUAUCCACCUCGACAUGCUUUGUACGAUCAUGUUGUACUAAAUUAUGAGCAAUGUCACACGCGGCUUUAUUGUCACAAAACAAUCGGAUUGGUUGCCUAGAUAGGUAACCUAAAUCCUGUAAGAGGAGUCUUAGUCAUAAUGCCUCACAAAGUCGUAGAGCCAUACCUCUAAAUUCCGCUUCUGCACUUGAACGAGCGACGACAUUUUGCUUCUUACUUUUCCAUGUUACAAGAUUACCACCUACAAAGGUAAAGUAACCAGAUGUNNNNNNNNNNNNNNNNNNNNNNNNNNNNNNNNNNNNNNNNNNNNNNNNNNNNNNNNNNNNNNNNNNNNNNNNNNNNNNNNNNNNNNNNNNNNNNNNNNNNAUUUGCACACCUUCUGACAUUGCUUUUCUGACACCAUGCAUCCUGGUGGAAGAUCCAUAUAUACUUCUUCAGAUAACUCGCCAUGCAGAAAGGCAUUUUUCACAUAGAACUGUUGUAAUGGCCAAUCUAGGUUUGCAGCUAAAGACAGUAAUACUCGAACUGUGUUGAUCUUAGCUACAGGUGCAAAUGUCUCUGUGUAGUCAAUUCCAUAAGUUUGAGUGUACCCUUUUGCUACCAGUCUUGCUUUAAAUCGUUCAAUACUACCAUCUACCUUGUACUUCACAGUAUAGAUCCAACGACACCCAACUGGCUUCUUUCCUGGUGGACAUUCUACGAGUUCCCAUGUUUCAUUCUUCUGCAAUGAUUUCAUCUCUUCAUUCAUGGCUACUUUCCACCUUGGAUCAGCUAAGGCUUCCUGCACACUGUUAGGAAUAGCUAUAGUAGAUAAUUGAUUUACAAAUGACUUGUUUGAUUCAGACAAACGAUGGUUAGACACAUAGUUGCUCAUGGGAUAUUUGACUUUGGUAGACAAUUCAGGUUCAUAUGUGGGUUUAGGAAUACCUAUAUUAUGACGGUGUGGUAACCGUUUCAUGAAUGGAUCAGGUUCCAAAUUAAGAACACCCUCAACAGACGACGAUUGGUUUGGUAUUUCAGUGAAGACAUCUUCGAACCCAAAUUGUUGACCACUCAUAUCCAACUCACCCACUUCCUGGUUCACUAGUUCAGAUUGUCCAGAUUCAUCUUCCUCAGAUAUAUGAUAAUCAUAAUCGAGAGUCUGAAUUNNNNNNNNNNNNNNNNNNNNNNNNNNNNNNNNNNNNNNNNNNNNNNNNNNNNNNNNNNNNNNNNNNNNNNNNNNNNNNNNNNNNNNNNNNNNNNNNNNNNUAAAUGAUAGUUUUUUCAUUUAUAUUUUCAUUCGUUCAUGUACAGAGUAUAUAUAGAGGGUAUCGCCAUUCUAAGAAUGGGAAAGAAUGAUACAAGGAAAGAAUGACAUAAGGAAAUAACAAUUAAUAUCUUAAUAUCUCAACUUUCCUAAUAUCUCAAUAUUCCUAAUAUCUCAAUAUUCCUAAUAUCUCAACACUCCCCCUCAAGUUGGUGCAUAGAUGUCACACAUGCCCAACUUGUCUAAAAAUUUUGAGAACACUUGACUUGAGACAGCUUUGGUAAGGAUAUCAGCCAAUUGAUCUUCUGAUCGAAUCUUAGGCAAUUCCACAAUCUUAUCAUCCAACUUUUCCUUAAUGAAGAAUCUAUCCACCUCGACAUGCUUUGUACGAUCAUGUUGUACUAAAUUAUGAGCAAUGUCACACGCGGCUUUAUUGUCACAAAACAAUCGGAUUGGUUGCCUAGAUAGGUAACCUAAAUCCUGUAAGAGGAGUCUUAGUCAUAAUGCCUCACAAAGUCGUAGAGCCAUACCUCUAAAUUCCGCUUCUGCACUUGAACGAGCGACGACAUUUUGCUUCUUACUUUUCCAUGUUACAAGAUUACCACCUACAAAGGUAAAGUAACCAGAUGUAGAUCACCUAUCAUCCACUGCACCGGCCCAAUCAGCAUCAGUAUAUACUUCUAUACUUUGAUGAUCAACAUUUUUAGAGAACAAAAUUCCCUUCCCAGGAGCAUUCUUCAAAUACCUCAAAAUACGCAUGACUGCAUUCAUAUGUUGCUCUCCAAGAUUAUGCAUGUAUUGACUCACUACACUCAAUGCAUAAGCAAGAUCUGGUCUUGUAUGAGCUAAGUACAUUAAUCUCCCCACAAGUCUCUGAUAUCUUCCCUUAUCGGUUGAUACUUGAUUAGGCUUAACACACAAUUUCAGAUCUUCUUCUAUUGGUGUAUUAACAGGUUGACAUCCCGACAUUCCAGUCUCCUGUAAAAGAUCUAAGGCAUACUUUCUUUGAGACAGAAAAAUUCCUUCACUUGAUCGAGAAACUUCAAUCCCAAGAAAGUAUUUUAGAGGACCUAGAUCUUUCAUUUCGAAUUCUCUAGAUAGAUAAUUUUGCAGAGCUUUUCUUUCUUCAGGAUCAUUUCCUGUAACUACCAUGUCAUCCACAUAUACGAUGAGUGUCGUAAUCUUACCAUGUUGCUUUUUCAGGAACAAAGUGUGAUCUGAAUUACUUUGACAAUAGCCAAAAGCUCUCAUUAACUUUGUGAACCUUCCAAACCAUGCUCUCGGGGAUUGCUUCAACCCAUACAAUGACUUCUUCAAUUUGCACACCUUCUGACAUUGCUUUUCUGACACCAUGCAUCCUGGUGGAAGAUCCAUAUAUACUUCUUCAGAUAACUCGCCAUGCAGAAAGGCAUUUUUCACAUAGAACUGUUGUAAUGGCCAAUCUAGGUUUGCAGCUAAAGACAGUAAUACUCGAACUGUGUUGAUCUUAGCUACAGGUGCAAAUGUNNNNNNNNNNNNNNNNNNNNNNNNNNNNNNNNNNNNNNNNNNNNNNNNNNNNNNNNNNNNNNNNNNNNNNNNNNNNNNNNNNNNNNNNNNNNNNNNNNNNGAUGAAUGAUGUCAUGUCCUUCUAAAUAAUUUUGAAGAUCAUUACUUUGAUAUUCUCCACCAUUAUCACUAUGCAGAACCCGAAUCUUUGCAUUGUACUGAGUUUCAAUCACUUUAUGAAAUUUUUGAAACAACAAGUUCACUUCAUCUUUGGUCUUCAUCAAGCAUAACCAUGUCAUUCUGGUACAAUUAUCAAUAAAAGUAACAAACCAACGUGAGCCACUCAAAGUUGGGACUUUGGAUGGGCCCCAAACAUCAGAAUGUAUAACCAUAAAAGGAAACGGACUUUUAUUUAAAAUUAACAGAAACGAAGCACGAUGGCUUUUAGCCAAUUCACAAAUAUCACAACGGAAACCAGAAAUAUCACUCUUUGCAAACAAACUAGGAAACAAUUUUUUUAAAUAACCAAAGGAACCAUGUCCCAAACGUCGAUGCCACAACCAAAUUUCAGAUUUUUUCUUCUCUCCCUCAGAUUCAUCUGCCAUCAAGGCUUGUUGCAACUUAUUUGAAUCCUUUGACUGCAAGUCCAAGUAAUAGAGUUUUUCCCGCUUAAUACCACAACCAAUCGUCUGUCUUGUUUGGAUGUCCUUAAUCACACAAAAUCCAGGCCAAAAAAUGACAAUACAAGAUAAGGCUGCAGUGAUUUGAGAAACUGACAAAAGAUUGUAAUCUAAAGAUGGAACAACUAAAACAGAAUCCAAAUUCAAAGUAUCAGUAAGAGUUAAGGAUCCUUUCCCAAUGACUGGGGUUGUGUUACCAUUAGCUGUGGAAACAAUUUUUUGUGAGGAAGGUCUAAGGGUUGAAACCUGUCUAAAAUCAAAAGUCAUAUGAUCUGUAGCACCAGAAUAAAUUAUCCAUGCACUAUUAAUAACAGAUGUAAAAGUAUUUAAAAACUUACCACCAUGAUCUGUAGCGGCUACCAAUGCAGAGGCUUUCUCAGCAACAUUAGCCUCUAUUUUUAUUUCGGCAAUAGUUGCAGUCAAGAUUUUCUUGGAAUCCUUCUUCCGUUGAUCACGAUUAUUAUCAUUAAUAACAAAGUGUUGAUAACCUAAACAUGAUUUAAAGGUCCAUGGUUCAAACCCUCGAUUCCUCAUUUUUUUCUUGAUCAUACCAAGAGUCGUUGCUUUGUUGGGAUAUCCAGACUGGUGGGAUCAGUCUUAUUGCAGUGAGUGCAUUUGAAGGUUGACUUAUCAAUAUUAGGGCUUGUCUUAGGAUGGUUGAUCGCUGUCGGACUACCAUAACGACAAAAUAUCCAGGAUUUCAGUUUCAUGGCUCUGAUACCAUGUUCAAAUUGAUAAAUGAUAGUUUUUUCAUUCAUAUUUUCAUUCAUUCAUGUACAGAGUAUAUAUAGAGGGUAUCGUCAUUCUAAGAAUGGGAAAGAAUGAUACAAGGAAAGAAUGGCAUAAGGAAAUAACAAUUAAUAUCCUAAUAUCUCAACGUUCCUAAUAUCUCAAUAUUCUUAAUAUCUCAACAAGAAGGGUAUGCCCAGGAAUCUCAUUUGCGCUUGAGGUCAUGCACCUGACACUAGCCAGACUGCUUCAUAGUUUUCAAUUGGGAGUGGUUGCGGAUUUACCAGUGGAUAGGACUGAAGGUUCAGGGGUGACUCUUCCCAGAGCAACCCCAUUGGAGGUCACCGUUGUCCCAAGGCUACCUUCCGAGCUCUACGGUUAUUAAGCAAGCAUGCAUGAAGACGGAAAAGUCUACUCCAAAUGUUAUCUUCUAAGCUAUAUUGUGAUUAAUUAGGCAUAAGAGGUAACAACCCAAUUCACAAACUCCCCUCACAAGCCCAGGCAGUGUCGUCUACAAAUGUUUGGACUCAGGAGAAUAUGAUUAAAUCUGCUCUUGUUAUGCAUGUGUAGCUCAUUCUGAAUGAUUUGUCAACUCAUAACCUUCAAUAUCUGUCUACUGCUGCUUCAUGCAGAGUCUACUUGGUUGCCUAUACCCUGACUUAUUUAAGAUUAUACAUCAGUUGAUUAUGAUCAUCUUCAUCGAUCAAAUAGAGGUCGUUUGUUGAUGUUUGUGUUGUUAUUUGAUUUGAUAAUUUUUCUUGCUUCUGCUUCAAAGUUUCUUGUUUGGGUUGAGCCUAGCUCAUGUUUUAAGUCGACUCAGCGUGGGGAAAAACACAAAUGGGAUUUGUGUUUUUUAUUUUAUUUUUUUUUUUUCCACCAGCAGAAUGGUCUUAUUUGGAAGCUUGUACAAACUUAGCUUUUUUAUAUAAAUAUUUGUGCGCAGUUUCCUGAUAUGGAUAAGUAUGACACGAAAGAGUGAGGAUUUUUCCACCCAAUCUCAUGCACAUCUCUAAGUGGGAUUAGUCAACCACCCAAUCAAUUGCCCAAGUUAGAGAGCCAAAUAUAGUGAUUUUUCGAUUCUUAAUCGUCGGCUUCCUCCUAACUCCAACUAUCCAUAUAUAUGAUUUCAUUUCAAUUUUGAAAACCCUUUUUGCCUUAAGAGACACUUGGAAACCUCAAUUUUCAUCCUUUUAACCAUUGAAAAAAAAAAUCCAAUUUUAUGUUUUUGAAGUCACUUUCUUAAAUGAUAUUUAAGAUUAUAUUUGGCUCUUAAAAAAACAAAAUUGAUAAAUUUAAAGUUAAUAAAUUAUUUUUAUAACAUAAUAUCUUAAAUAGAUAAAUACAUUAAAGUAAAAGAUAUGGAGAUAUGGUUUGGAUGGGGCAAAUUUCUUAAAAUAAUGCACUAGCCUAGCUUAGAUUAAUUCCUAAAAAUCUGCAUCAUGCUGGACGCUAUGGGUUUAUAACAUGUCAACUCUUCAUCUUUGAGCUUCCGAAAGCAUUUGCAUUUUAUAACAUGCCCAAUCAUGAUUAAACCAAGGAUUAAACAAUAAUCUUUUGUUUUGUUAUUAUCAAAAUAGAUUUUUAAAAAGCUAUAGGCUAACAACUCAUGGUUUCUUAUGCAAUCCCUUCCUUGGCUGGUUAGACACGGUGAAGGGGUAUAAGGCAAAAAUGAAGAGAACAGCUGGGAAGGUGUAUCAUGUGCUUGGAAGAUGAUUGGAGGAGCAUCCUUUCAAGAGGCUUGCUGAGAGUAUAGAAGCUGAACAAGACUUCACCCAUGUCAGACCGUCUGUAAUAGGAGAUGGACGGUUUCCUGGUCAUAACACCGACACAAUCAUUAAGGGCACAUGCUUGGUAUCUUCCUGUUCUUUCUUUUUUUUAUUUUAUGAAAUUAACAGUACACUGAGUUGCACUGCUUUCACUUGCACUACUUUCAGUGUUGCAUUAUCAGGGUUGAAUUGUAAAGUUUGAAUUAGUUUUACGGUAGAUGGUGGGGUUUAACCACUCAUUGAGCUCACAGUGGUCAAGGUGCCCAAUUACCUUUGCAGAGACUGAAGGGCAAGACAUUUAGAUAAUUUUUUAUUUAUUUAUUGAAUGAUGAAUUUAUCCCUAUUGUAUUUAAUCGGUUUAUGAUUUACAGUUUUGUUGAAGGAUUUUGUUUGAGAGAAAGAGAAUUAUUGUAUGUAUAGCUGCGAUUGUGAGGAGCAGGAUAACUUUCACCAUUAUAAUUUUUCUAUCUAUAUUAAUUUGAUUAGUAGAUUCUUGAGUGUUGAUAUAUUUCCUGAACUUGGUGAUCAUAUUGAUUGUAGAAAUAGGAUAAAUUCUUUUAUUUUGUUUUUCUUUAAUUCUACUCGCGUGUGUGUGAUUAAAUUACUUAAAGGACUGCACUAUUGCAGGUCUCCAUAUCCAAAGCAACAAUGGCUACCUUCUCUUUUGAACUCUACUUCUAUUAGCAGCAGCAAAAGUAAUAGCUUAAUGCGUGCAACAAAGUCUUCAGAUUAGUUCAGGCACCGUCUACUCCAGCAUUGAAAGUGGGAAAAAAUGUGUGCCACAAACUUCCCAAUUAGCUCAGGUAGGGUCCAAAUGUUUGGACUUUGAGACCAUGAGAAACCAAUCUGCUCAUUCUCAUUGAUUUGUUUAGCAGGUGGCCUCCUUGCUUCAACUGAAUUUUGAGUUUCUUAAUUCAUAUUUUAUCCUGAAAGUAAUUUAAAUCAUUGAGGUUGUAGCUUGUUUUAUUUUCAGCAAAUAGGAUGAAGCUUUCUCCUCAAACUACAACCUCUUCUCUCUAUCUUCCACAGUUUCCUCUACAAAAAGGUGAGUUGCACAGGCUGUUUGCCUAACAACUCAAGAUCCCUUAAGCCAAUACAAACUAAAACUUCAAAAGCCCAAGAAACCUUGAUAAUAUUAUAACCAUAGUUUGUCAAAAUAUUUUCAUUACAUUCAAAUUAGAAAAACUGCCCAAAUUUGGGUCGAAAUAAUCAAUUGGUGAAUGAGAAGGAACAAUAAGAAAACGUCGGAAUUGGAUUGUUUGGAUUCAAGAGCAGAUGUUUGAUUAGGACCCUCUUUUUUUUUUGGUUUUAACUUUGACACGAUAAAUUUCGUAUCUUCGGUUGUCUGUUCCUUCUUCAAAUUGGAGCCAUAUAUAUAUAUACUAAUUUUUCACGUUGCAUUUAUAUCUAGAUGCCUCUAGAGUCGUCCAGCAUCCAGCAACAGUUGGCUUUGGCUUAUGAUGUAUGUGGCAGAAGAUGUGGCGUUUUGUUUUUAGUCUCCUUAAUUCUGAACCAUUCAGUCCAAACGGGCAUCCACCUUACACUUAGGUAAGGUAAAGCUUCUCAAUAUUAUCUAUGUGAUGUGUGGUGUGUGGUGUGUGGUAUGUGGUAAAGAGCAAGCCAAACUUAAUAGCUAAAUCACCCAUUUCUGUGGGGUACGUUAGAUACACUCCACGUGAUUUUCAAUGAACAAAUAUGCAUCAUAACAACUGGCCAAAGAAAGAUUUUUCAUACUCAGAACUAUCAUAUAUAAGACUUCGAAGGAGCUUUCACAUUUUACAUCAUCCACAGCUGUCUAUAGUUUCUAUGUUAGGAUGGCACAUGUGUGGAACAUGAAUUCGACGUGUCGGUGUUCUAGUGUGUGUAGUUUUGAGCCAUUUUGGAGAAGUGAUUCUUUCCCCUGAUGCAUUCAACAAUGUACUGAGGGUGGUGACUUGCCCCUUUUCUAAAUGUAAUCAUGUUUUAUAUAUUUUUUUUAGAUCUAAGAAGCACUCACAGAAAGUGUGACCUGGGUAUGUAUAAAUAUCCCUGUUCUGAACAGAGAAAACUGUGAUCAUAUUGACUAUAGAAAUAGAGUAAAUUUUUUUAUUUUGUCUUUCUUUAUUUCUAAUUGUGUGUAUAAUUAGGUUAACGAAAGGACUGCACUGUUGUAGGAUUCCAUAUUAUCCAAAGCAACCAUGACGAUAUUAUCUUUUGAACUCUACUUCCAUUAGCAGCAGCAAAAGUAAUAGUGUUAAAAAUAAAUGCAAAUCAUUGUUGUAUGGUCUAAUGUAUGGGUAACAAAGACAACCGCUUUAUAAAAUCAUUGUGAAGCGCACUAUUUACAUCUUGUGAUAUCUUGUGGCUGAAGGGAGAAUCCCAUGACUAGUUAGUACCAGAGCAAAUGUGUCAGUGGAAAGAAUCAACUUUCUCAGGUACCAUAAAUAGGAAAAGGCUUCGAAAAUGGUUCAAAACUACAUUCGCUAGAACACUCACAAGUAGGAAUUCACGCUCUACACAUGUGCCAUCCUAAUUUAGUGUAGACAGCUCUAGAUGAUAAUAAAUAAUAUGAAGCUCCUUUCAAGUCCUAUAUAACACGAUUUGUUCAUUGAAAAUCAAGUGGUGUGUUGAUUUUGGUAUCAAGUUUUACUUCUCUUUACUUACACGCCACACAGCACACGGUACAUAGAUAUUUUAGAGAACCACAUGGUACACAUAUUUUAGAGAAGUGUGCUUUAAAGGUGGAGGUGGAGCCCCCUAUGGAUUCAAUCAUUCAAAAUUAGGAGACUAAAAACAAAAACCUAUAGUUAUCAGCCGAAAAAGUCAAGAGAUUGUCCACUUCCGAAAAAUCCACAUCUUCUUCCUAAUCAUAAGCCAAAGUCAAGCUAUUGGUAAGGCAAUUGCAGGGAGUAUGAGUGUAGCAUCUAGCUAUGAAUGCAAUGUGCAAAAUAUGUCUCCAAUUUGGAGAAGGAACUGGCAGCCAAAGAUACAAAAAUUUUAAGGAUUGAGACAACAGUGAUCACGCCUACAUGGGCCCUUUCUCUUCUGUUGAACAAAAGCUGGCAGGAUUGAGACAACAGUGAUCACGCCUACAUGGGCCCUUUCUCUUCUGUUGAACAAAAGCUGCGUGCUGAAAAAAUAAACACAAGAUGAGUUGGACGUCCAAUUGGGAAAGCAUCGCCUAGUGGAGGAAUCAGCUAUGAAGACAACUUAAUCUACCUACAAGCCAUUGUCAAGUGGAAACAUUACGAGUAUAGCCUGCAAGCUAUUGUCUACUCCAAAUGUUUGGUAGUGUUUAUAGAACCUAAGGAGGUAUGAUCUUCUUAGCUUUUCUGUCAUUAAGCAGAAUGGAAAGUAAGAAAAAAUGUGUGGCACAAACUUCCCCAAUUAGCUCAGGCAGGUUCCCAACGUUUGGACUUGGAGAACGUGGGAAGCAAAUCUGCUCACCUCAUUGGUUUGUUUUGUAGGUGGUCUCCUUGCUUAAAUGAAUUUUGAAUUUCUUAAAUCAUAUCUUAUCUGAUCUGGAAAGUAUUUUAAAUUAUUGAGGUUGUAGUUUAUUUUAUUAUCUACAGAUUAAAAAGAAAGAAAAUUCUCCUCUAACUCCAACUUCCUCUCUAUCUUUUCUACAAGCUAGUUUCUCUACAAUAUAGUGAGUUACACGGGUUCUUUGCCUAACAACUCAAGAUCCUUUAAGCGGAGACAAACUAAAACUUCAAAAGCCCAAGAAACCGGAUAAUAUUAUAACCAUAUAUAAUUUUUCAAAAUGAUUUUCAUUACAUUCUAAUUAAAAAAACUACCCAAAUUUUGGGUCAAGAUAAUCAAUUGGUGAAUGAGACGGAGCAAUUAGCAAAGUGGGAAUUGGAUUGUUUUGAUGCACUUGAUGGUUAAAAAGUUUAGUUAGAAUUUUUUUUUUUUUUUCCUUAAAAUUUGACACAAUAAAUUUUGGAUCUUUGGUUGCCAGUUCCUUCUCCAAAUUGGAGACAUAUUUUGCACAUUGCAUUCAUAGCUAGAUGCUACACUCAUACUCCCUGCAAUUGCCGUACCAAUAGCUUUACUUUGGCUUAUGAUUAGGAAGAAGAUGUGGAUUUUGCAGAAGUGGACAAUCUCGACUUUUUCGGCUGAUAACUAUAGGUUUUUGUUUUUAGUCUCCUAAUUUUGAAUGAUUGAAUCCAUAGGGGGCUCCACCUCCACCUUUAAAGCACACUUCUCUAAAAUAUGUGUACCAUGUGGUUCUCUAAAAUAUCUAUGUACCGUGUACUGUGUGGCGUGUAAGUAAAGAGAAGUAAAACUUGAUACCAAAAUCAACACACCACUUGAUUUUCAAUGAACAAAUCGUGUUAUAUAGGACUUGAAAGGAGCUUCAUAUUAUUUAUUAUCAUCUAGAGCUGUCUACACUAAAUUAGGAUGGCACAUGUGUAGAGCGUGAAUUCCUACUUGUGAGUGUUCUAGCGAAUGUAGUUUUGAACCAUUUUCGAAGCCUUUUCCUAUUUAUGGUACCUGAGAAAGGUGAUUCUUUCCACUGACACAUUUGCUCUGGUACUAACUAGUCAUGGGAUUCUCCCUUCAGCCACAAGAUAUCACAGUUUUUGGGCUUCUUCUUGCUACAAUCUGUUUGUUGUUGGCAACGGUAUUUAAUGCCAAAGGGAACAAGAAGAAAGGCAAAAGGCCACAGGAGCCGUCCGGGCGAUGGCCUAUUAUCGGUCACCUUCAUCUUCUAGGAGCAGACAAGCUGCCACAUCGGACACUUGGAGACAUGGCUGAUAAGUAUGGACCAAUCUUUUGCAUUCAUCUUGGCCUUCGUAAAGCUCUGGUGGUUAGUAGCUGGGAAGUAGCAAAGGAAUGCUACACUACCAAUGACAAGGUAUUCGCCACUCGACCAAGAUCCUUAGCAGUAAAGCUCAUGGGCUAUGAUCAUGCCAUGUUAGGAUUUGCUCCCUAUGGACCAUACUGGCGUGAUGUGCGGAAGCUAGCCAUGGUUGAGCUCCUCUCAAACCGCCAGCUUGAGAUGCUCAAACAUGUCCAGGACUCAGAAGUUGAGUUCUUAAUAAAAGAGCUCUAUGGGCAAUGGGCACGAAACAAGGACAGCCCCGCUUUGGUGGAGAUGAAGGAAAGAUUUGGGAACUUGGUAAUGAAUGUAAUGGUGAGAGCAAUUGCAGGGAAACGGUAUUUUGGGACCCAUGCCUGUGAUGAUGAGCCAAAACGGGGCAAAAAGGCCUUGGACGAUUUUAUGCUUCUAGUGGGGCUGUUCAUGGUCUCGGAUGCCAUCCCUUUUCUCGGCUGGUUGGACACGGUGAAAGGGUAUACCACUGAUAUGAAGAAAAUAGCUAAGGAGUUGGAUUAUUUGCUUGGAAGGUGGGUGGAGGAGCAUCGCCAGCAAAGGCUUUCCGCAAACAACAACAGGGCUGAGGUAGACUUCCUCCAUGUCAUGCUUUCCGUCAUAGAUGAUGGCCAAUUCUCUGGUCGUGAUCCUGAUACCGUCAUUAAGGCCACUUGCUUGGUAUGUCCCUGCUACUUCCAUAACUUGACCAUGAAAUGAAAAGAGAAAAAAAAAAACACCAUCUACUAUCAUAAUUUCUGCAACUUUUUCUGCCCAAUUUCCUAAACCCUCCUCGCAUUUCUACAAGCAUUCAUCAAAUCCAGUAUAGCUUUAUCAUCUGUAUUUAUCAUGACAAACCAGGUGGGGUGAUCGAAUUUCACUUAGAUUCCUUAUUCACGGUUUGUUUUAUCAUUCUGCUAAACAUGGUAUUUCACUACUGAUAAGUAAACUUUUCCUGAUCACAUAUUGAAGUCGACAUCAUUUGUUGAUUGCAGAACCUCAUAUUAGCUGGCUAUGACACAACAUCUAUCACUCUUACAUGGGCCCUCUCUCUUCUACUGAACAACCGCCAUGCGCUAAAAAAGGCACAAGCAGAGCUGGAAAUCCAUGUGGGUAAGCAUCGCCAAGUGGAUGGAUCAGAUAUAAAGAACCUAGUCUACCUGCAAGCCAUCGUCAAGGAAACAUUACGAUUGUACCCUCCUGGGCCACUUUCCGUGCCGCAUGAGGCCAUGGAAGAUUGCACUGUGGCAGGCUUUCACAUCCAAGCUGGGACGCGCCUUUUGGUUAAUCUCUGGAAGUUGCAUCGUGACCCCAGAGUCUGGUUGGACCCUUUGGAGUUCCAACCAGAGAGGUUCCUGACAAACCAUGCAGGUUUGGAUGUUAGGGGUAAAAAUUAUGAACUUCUACCCUUUGGUUCAGGUAGAAGGGUAUGCCCAGGAAUCUCAUUUGCACUGGAGUUGACGCAUCUGGCACUAGCCAGACUGCUUCAUGGUUUUGAAUUGGGAGUAGUUGCAGAUUCACCGGUGGAUAUGACUGAAGGUCCUGGGUUGAGUGCCCCCAAAGCAACCCCGCUGGAGGUCACCAUUGUUCCAAGGCUACCUUUCGAGCUCUAUAGUUAUGAAGCAGCAUAGAAAGUAAAUAAUACUCUGUGAGCCAGAGAGUCCCCUAAUUAGCCCAAUGCUUUAGGGUAUAUUUAUGUUGUGUAACUCACUUUGAAUGGCCUGUGUAGUGGGUGUUCUCCUUUCUUGUCUUCUCGUCUCAAAUUUCAUCCACUUGGAUAGUAAUAAAUUUCCAUCUAUGAGUAAUUCUUUGUGUUACUUAAAAUAUAGACCACAACUGCACCAGCAACAAAAGGCUGUUGCAACAACAGAACUCAACAAAACCAAGAUCACUCAAGAAUUGUGCAAGUAGUUAGCAAUAUGGUAGUGUAGUUUGAAACUGUGCAAAUAGUUAGGAAUCUGAUUGUGUAGUUUGUUAUAGCUGAAACUUUAAAUAGCAGAGUAGAGAACCUCUCCUGAACAUGUAAUUCUUCAUCUCAAUAUACAGAAAUUAAAUUUGCAUUCUCCUGAUACAAACUUACAUGGUAUCAGAGCCACCCCGUAUUUCCUUCUCUUCGCAUCAGUUUCAUGGUUCCACCAUGGCAAUCUCAACUCAGUCUUCUCGGAUACAAGCUAGAGCUGCAAAUUCGUCCUCAGCCAUAACUCAAUCAAUGCAGAUGUUGAAUCAUGCACUGCCCAUUAAACUUGAUAAAGAUAAACUACCUGUGUUGGAAAACACAACUGGAGAAUGUGAACUUUGCAAACGGCUUUGAAGACCACAUUGAAGGUUUGACAGUCUGUCCUUCAAAAACAACAAGCAAUGGUGAAACAAAUCCAGAGUUUAUUCUUUGGAAAAGAUUUGACCGAAUGAUCCUUAGUUGGAUCUACUCCUCACUUACUCCAGAAAUUAUGGGUCAAAUAAAAGUGUAUCAAAUCUCCCAUGAAGCAUGGUCUGCUCUGGAAAAGAUCUUCUCAGCUUCAUCCAAAGCUUGGGUGAUGCAAUUACAACUAGAAUUUCAAACCACGAAGAAAGGAUCCCUUUCAAUGAUGGAUUACAAUCUCAAGCUGAAGAAUCUGACUGACCACUUAGUUGCCAUUGGAGAACUGGUAUACGACAGAGAUCAUAUUCUGCAACUGCUUGGAGGGCUUGGUGUGGAAUACAAUUCCAUUGUGGCCUCUCUUGUAGCAAGAGAAGAUGAAGUUUCACUGCAUACGGUGCACAAUAUUCUGUUAACCUAUCAACAGUGCCUAAAUCUUCAGAAUUCGACAGAAAACAAUGUAAUCUCUACAAAUCUCACUACCACGUCAUCAAAUCACCACAACAACAGAAGGAAUUCCAAUCGAAAUUCCUCAGGAAACAAUAGCAGAAUAGUCAACUCCGAACGCAACUCUCAUGGCAAUAGAAACUUGGUCUCUCAAAAUCACCCACAAAGUAAACUUUGUAGAAAGUCUGGACAUAGUGUGGUCCAAUGCUAUCAUCGUUUUGAUAUAAACUUCCAAAGGGUAAAUACCAACUCUGAAUCUAAGCCCCAUGCAACUAACAGAAAUCGAGAUUAAGCCCAUGUUGUGAUUGCAUCUUCUAUUAACAUAAAGAGUAAGGAAUGGUUCUUUGAUACUCGCGCCACCCAUCAUCUUUCUCAAACUACCACCUCUCUGGACAAUAAACAAUCAUAUAAUGGCAAUGACAAGGUGACAAUCGGGAAUGGUACACAAUUUCCCAUUCUUCAUACGGGUACUAAAAUUUUUCAGUUUCCUUUUAAAGUGUUUCAAUUAAAAAGAGUUCUUCAUGCUCCUCAUCUUGCAACCAAUCUUGUUAGUGUCUCUCAAUUCUGUGCUGACAACAAUACAUUUGCUCUCAGUUCUUUCUUGUCAAAGAACAGGUUACCAAGAAAGUUCUUCUCAAAGGUCAUCUCGAACGAGGAUUGUAUAAAUUUCCUACCAAUUUUAGCUCCACUACAGGCAUGUUCUCUAGCCUCAACAACUUUUCAUCUUCAAAUUCCACGAUUGAGCUUUAGCAUUCUCAACUUGGUCAUCCUGCUGAAGAUAUAUUGAAACACGUUCUGAACAACUGUAAUAUUUCUUAUCAAUGUAAUAAACACCAAAUCUAUUGUGUCUAUCAAUAUGCCAAAAGUCACAAGUUGCCUUUUUCGUUGUCCAUGUCAAGAGCAUCUCAUCCUUUAGUACUUGUUCAUGCUAAUUGUUGGUUGUAGUUUCACCCUUAAAACAGAGAUUGGCUAUAAAAAAAAAUAAAAAAUGGAAGAGUAACACCUAGGAAUAGAGGAGUUAAAAAUAGUCCACCAAAAAACAAAGGACCUUUUUUCUUUUCCUCACUUUGUAUUCUCGGUUAUGUUGUUUUUGUUGUACAGAAUGUAGUUUUCAAACCAAAUGCAAAGAGAUUUAACUUGAGUAAACCUCUCCACAUGGAAGCAUGACAACCACUCAAAACAUAAAAACAAAAAACUUAUUGUGAUGUUCCUCCAUACCCAAAAGCUUUCGGAAGUGAACCCAAAAGUUUCUCAACAAUUCUUUUAUCACUAAUUUCUUCGCCAUAUGACUUCAUCUGAUUAACUAAUCUAAAAGAAAACUCAUUUAGAAUUUCAUUCUCCUUCAUUUUCAUAUUUUCCAACUCUCUUCUUAAAGCUUGAAGCUUUACUGACCGGGUUCUUUUAUCUCCUUGGAACUACUAUUGAAGGAUGUCCCAUGCUUCUUUAGCUUUUGAAGCUCUCAUAAUUCUUGGAAAGAGGUUGUUAACAACACCUUGUUGAAUAAAUAAGAGAGCUUUUGCAUCCGUUUUUUUCAAUUCUUUCAACUUUUUUUUUUUCAACCGAAGUUAGUGUAAUCACAUUUUCAAGUUCAUCAAAACCAUUUUCAACCAAAUCCCAAACACCUUGAUUUAUAAAUAAUGUUUUCAUUUUUAUGCACCAAAAAUCAUAAUUUUCUCAUUCAAAUAAUGGAAUAGAAGAAGGUUGAGAACUCAUACUUGCAACACUUGAGCUAGCCAUUGAUCUACUCUUCAAAUCCUUGGCCGUCUACUUCAAGAUUGAUGGUUUCUAGCUACACAAUCUGAUUGCACAGCAACAACACCAAUUGUUCUUCGUUUUCUCUUUCCUUGUUUGCCUUCAAAUUUUGAUGCUUCAAUGACCACCAAUUCAGUCGUAUUGUAGGUUUGGAUUUGGGCCUUCAGAUUAAAAGAAACCCUAGUAUCCUCCAUCUCUAAAAUAGAGGAAAUUUCUGAAAUUUCCAUACACAAGAGGCAUGUUGUAAGAGAUAAGAGGGCUUGAAAAGAAGAGGUGGAUUAUAUUAAAUUGGAAACAACAAGGUGGAUCGAAGUUAGAUUGAGAGAUGGAUUCGUGAAAUAGGUGGGCUCUGAUACCAGUUCUGUUGGUUGUAGUUUCAGCCUAAAAAUAAAGAUUGGCUAUAGAAAGAAAAAAUGGAAGAGUAACACCUAGGAACGGAGGAGUUAAAAACAGUCGACCAAAAAACAAAGGGUCAUUUUUCUUUUCUUCACUUUGUAUUCUCGAUUCUGUUGUUUUUUGUUGUAUAGUAUGUAGUUUUCAAACUAGAUGCAAAGAGAUUUAACUUGAGUAAAUCUCUCCACAUGGAAGCAUGACAACCACUCAAAACAUAAAAAACAAAAAACUUAAUUUUUACAUAUAUAUAACCUAAACACAGCAUAGGCACAUUAUGUUACACUAAUAUCUAGGCUCCUGCACCCACUUUGUCUACUUCUGAUGCAUGAUUUUUUCUGCUACUCAUAGAUGACUUCUCAAGAUUUUCUUGGCUUUAUCCACUGCACACCAAAGAUUAAGUGCUUACAAUGUUUAUAAAAUUUCUCGCUUUAGUGAAAACAACUUAACUUCAAAAUUAAGAGCCUACAAUCAAAUAACGAUGGUGAAUUCAAAGAAUUUUCUUCCUAUCUUGCUGCCCAUAACAUUGAACACAAGUUCUCCUACCCAUACACACCUGAACAGAAUGGGAGAGUCAAGCAGAAAUUGAGACAUGUUAUAGAAACUAGUCUUGCUUUUCUAGCCAAAGCCUCCUCACCUCUCUCUUUCUGGUUGUAUGUUUUUCAUACUGCCAUAUUCCUCAUCAACCAUCUACCUACCAAGGUACUUAAAUAUCAAUCUCCAUUUCAAACUCUUUUUGGGAAAAUUCCUAAUUAUCAUUAUCUCAAGACAUUCGGUUGUCUUUGCUACCCAUACAUUAGACCAUACAACAAGCAAAAACUGCAAUAUUGUUCUACUCCAUGCAUCUUUCUUGGCUAUAGAAACAAUCACAAAGGAUACUUAUAUUUUGAUCCAAAAACUACCAGACUUUAAAUAACUAGACAUGUUGUUUCUCAUGAAUCAAUCUUUCCAGCUCUAUCACCUUCAACUUCUUCUAAUCCUAGUUCUUCCAUUUACACUCAUGCAUUUCUUCCCAUAAACAUGUCCUAUUCUCUUGCUUUAUCUUCUCCUGACGUUCCACAGCAUAACCCCACACCUUUGUCUUCACCACUUCACUCAUCUUCUGACCACACCCUUCAAACUAUACUUAACAAUGCUCCUCAGCAUCCUCUUAUUAUUACUAAUUAUCAUAUGAUCACGCAUGCCAAGGAUGGCAUUGUAAAAAAAGAAAUCUUUUUUGUCUCACAUGCCUACUAAACCAGCAACAUUUUCUCAAGCUAUCAAAAGUUUCUACUAGUCCAAGGCUAUGUAACAAGAGUAUGAUAUUCUACUCAAAAACAAAACAUGGAAUCUAGUUCUUGCUCCUCCAAAUGCCAAUAUUAUCGAUUGCAAAUGGGUCUGCAAAUUAAAACAUAACCCGAAUGGAACCAUUGCUCGUUACAAGGCUCUCCUAGUUGCCAAAGGUUUUACCCAAACACAUGGUCUUGAUUAAUUUGAAACCUUCAGCCCCGUUGUCAAAGCUUCAAGCAUCAAAAUAGUGUUUGCUCUUAUUCUCUCUUUUGGUUGGACAAUUCGUCAGCUUGAUGUGCAAAACGCCUUCCUCAACAGUGAUCUCUAAGAGCAAGUCUUCAUGAGCCAACCACCUGGUUUUAUCAACUCUCGAUUUCCUACUCAUGUCUGCAAACUUAACAAAACCAUUUAUGUGCUUAAACAAGCUCCUAGAGCAUGGUACACCAAGCUCGGUCAUGCUUUUCUUAGCUAGGGUUUUCAAGCCUCCCAUGCAGACAGCUCCAUGUUAUUUCUUCACACUGCCAAUGAUGUGCUUAUCUUAUUGAUCUAUGUUGAUGACAUCCUCUUAAUAGGUAGUGAUCCUCAUUGUGUUUCUUCAUUUUCUUCUCAUCUUAAUGUUACAUUCGCUCCUCGAGAUCUUAGUCAUCUUCAAUAUUUUCUUGGUCUAAAGACUAUGCAAGAAAAAAACUCAGUUCAUUUGAAUCAACACGAAUAUGUCCAUGAUCUUCUUCAACGUACCAAUAUGCUUGAAUCCAAAUCUGCUUCUGCGCCUGGUAUGGUUGGUCAAAAUUUAUCCAAACAUGAUAGAGAUCUUUCCAUGAUGUCACACUAUAUUGGCACAGUUGGUGCUCUUCAAUAUCUCACAUUAACGAGACCUAAUAUUUCAUUUGUUGUCAACAUAUCAUGCCAGUUUAUGAGUAGUCCCUCCAACACACAUUGGUUUUCUGUAAAGCGCAUCUUACGUUAUCUUAAAGGCACUACAUCUUAUGGUAUUUCCAUGCAACUGUCUCUCUUUGGACAUUUAAGCAUACACUGAUGCAGAUUGGGCUUUUUGUACAAAUGACAAAAGAAGCACCAGUGGCUAUUGUAUUUUCAUUGGGCCAAAAUUGGCAACGAGUAGAAAGUUGUUUCAAGAAGUAGUGUGGAAUCUGAGUAUCGUGGCAUAACUGUUGUCGCUUCCGAAAUUGCUUGGAUUCAAUCUCUACUCACCGAGUUAUGUCUUUCUCCUUCUGUGGUGUGACAACCAAAGUGUUGCACAUCUUGCUGCCAAUCCCAUAUUUCAUGGUCAAGCAAAGCAUAUUGAACUCGACCUUCAUUUUAUUCGUAAUAAAGUCCUUCAAAACCAACUUAGUAUUCGGUAUCUUCUCUCUUUCAACCAAAUCAUUGAUAUCUUCACUAAACAUAUCUCAAGCUCUCGGUUUUUUUAGCUUUCGAACCAAACUCUUUAUUGUUCUCAAACCUUUGUUCCCAAACCUGCGAGCUUGUGGGGGGAUGAUAGGCCACAACUGCACCAGCAACAGAAGGCUGAUGCAACAACAGAACUAAGAUCACUCAAUGCAAGAACUAUGCAAGUAGUUAGGAAUUUGGUAGUGUAGUUUGAAUUGUGAAAAUAGUUAGGAAUUUGGCAGUGUAGUUUGUUACAACUGAAACUAUAAAUAGUAGAGAAGAGAACCUCUCCUGAACAUGUAAUUCUUCCAAUCAAUAUACAUAAACUAAAUUUGCAUUCUCCUUAUACAAACUUAUACUCCUUUCUCAUCUUCUCAUCUCAAAUUUCAUCCACUUGGAUAGUAAUAAAUUUCUAUAUAUGAGUAAUUCUUUUUGUGUUACUUAAAAUAUCUUAAGUUUGUUUUUGAGAAAAACAAAAAUAGAAAAUGGUUUUAUGUUCUACGUCUUUCAACUAUUCUCACUUAUUUUAAAAAAUAAAUAUAAAAAUAUGUAAAAUGAUAAUAAAUAAAUAAAUAAAGUACUGACGUAAAAGUUAUUUUUUAAAAAUAUAUAUAUAUUUAAAAACAUAAAAAAAAUAAGUUAAUAAUAUUUCUAAUUCUAAAAUAAAAUUUUAUUCACAAAACAUGAAAGAACAAUUUUUAGAAACAAUUCUCAAAUAUCAUUUUUCAUAAUUGUUUUUUAAAACACUUCCCAUUUUUUUAUAGUUUUUUUUUUAAAGAAUUAUUUAUUAAGAGUCAUCUUGUCAGUGAUCCUAAGAAGUGUUUUUAGUCAAAAAAAAAGUUUUUGAAAAAACAUUGGAUGUUUGACAGAAUUAAGGAAAUAUCUUUCAAAUUUUGAAAAAUCAUUUUCUAGAAAAAUGUUUAAUAGAUGAUUUUACGAAAAAACAAUUUAUGAGAAAACACUGCCAAUAAAAAAAAAUUAAAUAGAAACACUUUCAAAUACACUUAAAAUGUUUUUCUUAGAAGUAUUAUAAGUGAUUUUUUAACUUUUUAAAACCAUUGUUUAAAUUUUAUCUAAUUUUUUUUUCUCAAAAAUAUUUUUGUACGUAAGCUAGAACUAGAAGUACUUUCUAACUUCAAAGAAUCUUUACCCGGCCGUUAACGUUUUAGACACCGCCGUUACCAGGCCCUUCUCUCAUGCAAUUGCUUAUAUAAAAACAAACACUUUUGUUACUUGGUACUAGAGCGCAUUAGAACUUUAGACAAAACAGAAGAUUCCUUACUUUUAUUUAGGCAUCAAACCCACUCAUUCAAGCAUAUUUAAAUUUAAAUGCAGUCGUCCAUGUAUACACAAAAGACCCAUUACCAAGAAGGUGAUCAUCCUUUUUCAGGGUUGGUUGUUCAAAAUUCAAAAUCAGUUGGCUGAAGAACAGAAAGGAAAAGAACAGAGCUGAAUUUGCAGAAAAGUAUUUUUUUUCUUUUUCCUUUUCUAAGGAUCUUGGAAUCCUUUUCCUAGUAUAGACAGAACAUUAGAGGUAUAUAUAUGGUAGUGGGAAGUGAUUCUUCCCCAUAAAACAUUUUCUUUUCUAUUGAGUCAUGGGAUUCUAUCUUCAGCUUCAAGGGAUCAUAGUUUUUAGCCUUCUGUUUGCUAUCAUCUGUUUGUGAUUGAUUAAGGGCAAAGGGAACAGAAACAGAGGAAAAAGGGCACCAGAACCAUCACGGGCAUGACCUUUAAUCGGACACCUUCAUCUUCUACGAGUAGGCAAGCCCCAACAUCAAGCAUUUGGAGCCAUGGCAGAUAAGUAUGGACCAAUCUUUUGCUUUCAUAUUGGCCUGCGCAAAACUUCGGUGGUUAGCAGCUGGGAAGUAGCAAAAGAAUGUUUCACUACCAUGGACAAAGCAUUUGCCACUCAACCCAGAUCCUUGGCAGGAAAGCUCAUGGGCUAUGACCAUGCCAUGUUUGGCUUCUCUCCUUGCAGGGCAUACUGCGUGAUGUAAGGAAGCUGGCCUCAAUUGUGUUGGAUUGUGAAGCUUGAACUAGUUUUAUUGCGCUUCGCUCAGGAUGUCGGGAGUCGAGCUGCCCGAUCAACUCAUGAGGGUCAAAUGGUUGCAAAGUUUGUUGACAUAGGUGAGAUUCAAACAUGUGAUGAAUGUUCUGUAUAGUGAUAGCCAAAGUGCAAUACAUUUUGCUAAGAAUUCAGCAUUUGACUAGACAUAUAACAAUUCUUUAUCACUUCAUCAGGCCUUUGCUUAAAAGUGGAGUGUUAACACUUGUGAAGAUACACGAUAACAAGAAUCCAACUUACAUGUUGAUCAAAGCACUAAUAGCAGAGAAUCUAGAGCUAUGCUUAGCUUCAGUGGGUCAAGGGUAAGGAUAGGUUGUUUCAGUGCACUAUACCUAUUAAUCAUUGAAGGAGGAGGUUUAUUGUGUUUCAGUCCAAGCAUAAGAUUAUUAGAUUGUCAAGCCUGAAUCAAUUUUGUUGUAUUUCGCUCGGAAUGUUAGAGAUUAAGAUGUUAGGUCAGCUCAAGGUGAUCGAGCUCCCAAUGAGCUCGCAAGGGUUGAGCUCCCUAAUGAGCUCGAUAAAGGGAUCAAGUUGCCCGAUCAACUCAUGGGAGUUGAAAGGGGUAGCGCCCCUUGAAAAAAAAAAAUAUAUAUAUAUAUAUGCAUUGAUUGAUGAGUUUACACCUAUUAUAUAUUUAACUUUUUUACGUUUAGGGUUUUGUUUUUCUUAGAGUGCAGCCACAAUUGAGAGAUUUUUUUUUAGAGCUUCAUCAUUCUAACUCAUUUUUCAUUUUGAUUAGUGAAUUGUUGAGUAUUGGUGCACUCUGUGGACAUAGGGAUCACAUUUAUCGCCGAACCAAGUUAAAAUUCUUGUCUUUUUCUUUAUUUUCUACUCAUGUGUGUGUGAUUUGAUUAACAGGUUGAGCUCUUCUCAAGCCACCAGCUUGAGUUACUCAAUCAUGUCCGGGACUCAGAAGUCAAGCUUUUCAUCAAAGAGCUCUACAGGCAAUGGAUACAAAAUGGGGAUAGACCUCUCUUGGUCGAGAUGAAGGAGAAGUGUUGGCACCUGGCAGCAAAUGUAAUGGUGAGCACAGUAGCUGGGGAACGGUAUUUUGGCACCGUUACAAAUGACUAUGAGUCAAGACAGUGCCGCAAGGCCCUUGGCGAUUUCUUAUAUCUCUCGGGGAUAUUUAUGGUUUCUGAUGCAAUCCCCUUCCUUGGCUGGUUGGACACAGUGAGAGGAUAUACGGCAAAAAUGAAGAGAACAGCUAGGGAGGUGGAUCAGGUGCUGGGAAGCUGGGUGGAGGAGCACGGCUGGAAAAGGGUCUUUGGAAGUAUGAACGAGGCUGAUCAGGACUUUGAGUGCUUUUGGUAAUGAUUAUACGAAGUGUUUUUAGUUUUUUUUUAACAUUUGAAAAUUUCUAUCUUUUAAAUAUUAAAGAUAUUAAAAAUACUUCUUAAAAUCACUAUCAAAUAUACUCUUUAUCCAUAGGAUGUUGUGUCUGUUAUUAAGGAUGGUCAAUUCUCCCAUCAUGACCAUGACACUGUCGUUAAGGCUACUUGCUUGGUAUGUUUCUUCUACUUUCCUUGGUCAAAUUCCAUAAACCUCCACACACUUCUGUACGUAAGGAAACAGCAAACCUCCAUCUUGAUUUGUUUUGUCCAGCUGUUCCACUUACCAUUUCAGGACUGAUGAUUAACUCUCAACUUUCUUUGACAAAAUUUAUGGGAAUAAUGAAAACUAUGAUAAACUUUUAAAUUGUUCUACCGACAGCUAGACUCACUAUUUUUUAACACAUACUGAUCAAAGGAGCCAUAUCACCGGCUCAAAAGACCAACAUGGAUGUAAUGUUGAUGUAGACUCUUAUAUAGGCGGCUUUGAUUCAACAGUGAUCACACUGACCUCAGCCCUCUCUCUGCUAAUGAACAAUCCUAGCACUCUAAAAAGAGCACAAGAUGAGUUAGACAUCAAAGUGGGAAAGCAUCGCAAAGUGGAUGAGUCAGACAUAAAGAACCUAGUCUACUUGCAAGCCAUCAUCAAGGAAACCUUACGACUGUACCCUGCUGCACCGCUUUCAGUGCCACGUGAGGCCAUGGAGGAUUGCAACGUGGCAGGCUUCCACAUCCAAGCUGGGACUCGCCUUCUGGUUAACCUGUGGAAGUUGCCCCGGGACUCCGAAAUUUGGCCGGACCUUUGGAGUUCCAACCUGGGGGGUUCCUAACGAAGCAUGUGGAUUUUGAGGUCGUGCAUCUGACACUAGCCAUCUGACACUUCCUAAAAUAAUAUUUAAGAUUAUAUUUAGUUUUUGGAAAAUAUGAAAGAAAACAUGAGGAAAAAAAAAAAAGGAAAAUAGAAGAAAAUUAAAAAAUUAAAAAAAAAUCAAUAAUUCAUUUUUAUAACAUAAUAACUUAAAUGAAUAAAUACAUUAAAGAUAUGGUUUUCAUGGGACAAAUUUCUUACAAUAAUGCGCCUAACUUGGAUUAACUCCUAAAAACUUGCAUCAUGCUGGAGGCUCUCCUAUUAUAACAAGAAAAGUCUUCAUCUUUGAGCUUUCAAAAGCAUUUGCAUCAUGAUUAAACAAAGGAUUAAACAAUAAUCUUUUGUUUUGUUAUUAUCAAAAUAGUCUUUAAAAAGCUUUAGCCUAACAACUCAUGGUUUCUUAUGUAAUCCCUUCCUUGGUUGGUUACACACGGUGAAGGGGGUAUAAGGCAAAAAAUGAAGAGUACAGCUAGGGAGGUGUAUCAUGUGCUUGAAAGAUGAUUGGAGGAGCAUCCUUUCAAGAGGCUUGCUGGGAGUAUAAAUGAAGCUAAACAAGACUUCAUCCAUGUCAUGCCGUCUGUUAUAGGAGAUGGACAGUUUUCUGGUCAUAACACUGACACAAUCAUUAAGGGUGCUUGCUUGGUAUCUCCCUGUUCUUUCUAUUUUUUGAUGAAAUUAACAGCACCGAGUUGCACUGUUUUCACUUGCACUAUUUUCAGUGUUGCAUUAGUAGUGUUGAAUUGCAAAGCAUGAAUCAGUUUUAUAUAUCACAUAGAAGAUGUUGGGGGUCAAAUCACCCGUUGAGCUCACAAUGGUCAAGGUGCCCAUUUAGCUUUGUAGAGAUUGAAGGGGCAAGGCCUAUAGAUAAUUUUUUUUAUUUAUUAAAUGAUGAGUUUAUCCCUAUUGUAUUUAAUCGGCUUAUGAUUUAGAAUUUCCAUGAAGGGUUUUGUUUGAGAGAGAGAAUUGUAUGUAUGACCAUGAUUGCGAGGAGAAGGAUAACUCUCGCCAUUAUAAUUUUUCUAUCUUUAUUAAUUAGAUUAGUAGAUUCUUAAGUGUUGAUAUGAUUCUUAAGCGUAGUGAUCAUAUUGACCAUAGAAAUAGAGUAAAUUCUUUUAUUUUGUCUUUCUUUAUUUCUAAUUGUGUGUAUAAUUAAGUUAACGAAAGGACUGCACUGUUGCAGGAUUCCAUAUUAUCCAAAGUAACCAUGACGAUAUUAUCUUUUGAACUCUACUUCUAUUAGCAGCAGCAAAAGUAAUAGCCUAAUGUGUGCAACAAAGUCUUCAGGUUAGUUCAGGCACUGUCUACUCCAGCAUAGAAAGUGGGAAAAAAUGUGUGCCACAACCUUCCCAAUUAGUUCAGGCACUGUCUACUCCUUAAUUCUGAACCAUUCAGUCCAAACGGGCAUCCACCUUACACUUAGGUAAGGCAAAGCUUCUCAAUAUUAUCCGUGUAAUGUGUGGUGUGUGGUAAAGAGCAUGCCAAACUUUAUAGCUAAAUCAACCCCAUUUUUAUGGGGCUAGAUACACUCCCACGUGAUUUUCAAUGAAUAAAUAUGCAUCAUAACAACUGGCCAGAGAGAUGGGUUUUUUCAUACUCAGAACUAUCAUAUAUAAGACUUCGAAGGAGCUUUCAUAUUUUGUAUCAUUGACAGCUGUCUAUAGUUUCCAUAUUAGGAUGGCACAUGUGUGGAACAUGAAUUCGACCUGUCGGUGUUCUAGUGUGUGUAGUUUUGAGCCAUUUUGGAGAAGUGAUUCUUUCCCCUGAUGCAUUCGACAAUGUACUGAGGGUGGUGACCUGCCCCUUUUCUCAAUGUAAUCACGUUUUAUAUAUUUUUUUUAGGUAUAAGAAGCACUCACAGAAAGUGUGACCUGGGUAUGUAUAAAUAUCCCUGUUCUGAACAGAGAAAACUGUGAAAACAGAAUAGAAAACCAUUUUUCUCUCUCCAGCCCUCUUUCUCUUCACUCUGGUACUAUCCAGUCAUGGGAUUCUCCCUUCAGCCUCAAGAUAUCACAGUUUUGGGCUUCUUCUUGCUACAAUCUGUCUGUUGUUGGCAACAGCACUUAAUGCCAAAGGGAACAAGAAGAAAGGCAAAAGGCCACCAGAGCCGUCCGGGCAAUGGCCUCUUAUCGGUCACCUUCAUCUUCUAGGAGCAGACAAGCUGCUACAUCGGACACUUGGAGACAUGGCUGAUAAGUAUGGACCCAUCUUUUGCGUUCGUCUUGGCCUCAAAA
rnacentral:lncRNA from 1 species